rnacentral:lncRNA from 1 species
UUUUAACUCACAGAGAGACAUAUUCAAUAUUUUAGAGUAGUCUUUUUAUGAUCCAAAAUUAUGUGUCUCGGGUGAGUUAAACUCUUUAUAGAGUUUCAUGCAAAAAUCACUAUUAAAUAAGUCAUACAAAUGCAUUGUUACAACAUCCAUUAUGUGUAAAUUAAACUCUUCAUAUGCUAUAAGGCUUAUUAAAUAUCGAAAAGUACUUGCAUCAACUAGAGAUGAAUAUGUCUCAUCAAAAAUGAUUUCAGGGCUUUGCAAAAAUCCUUGAAUGAUAAGUCAAACUUUAUAUCUCACAUAUUUUCAUUUUGAGUUCGCAUUAAAAUCCAUUUGUAUCCAACUAGAUUCACACCUUGACGUGUUCGGACUACAUGUCUAAAACAUUGUCUCUUGUAAAGUGAGUUUAACUAUAGUUCAAUUGUAUCUUUUCAUUUUGCCUUAUUCUCACUUUUUAUACAAUCUUUAAUAGAUUAUGAUUCACGUUUCCUUUUAGCGUUUAUACUUUUAGCGUUAUAUUAUAUACACAAAUAUUUAUCAACGUUGACUUUAGUUUUUGUUUUAUUAAUUCAGGCUCCACCGUAUUUUAUUCAUGACCUAAUUUAUCGAGAUCUCUUUAUUUUCAUAAAUUUAAGGUACCUGAUUAGUUUACUAGAACUCAAAAAUAAAUUAUGUAAAAAUUCUCACUAUUACAAAUAACGCUUUUAACAUCACACACGAAAGAGAUGUAACCUCGGCUCCUGAAGCGAUGUGACAAAGGGCGACAUAAAAAUAUGUCACUUAACACCUCGGUUAAUGAAAAACAAAGGUGUUAAGUUAUCUAAUCAUGGGUUCUAACCCCAUCAUCUGCCUUUUUAUUAUUUAUAAAACUAGAUGGCGCGCCCAACAUAAAAUCUCAGUUUUGUUUAAAAACCGAGGUAAUAGCCGUAUAUUAUUACGCCGGUUGUAUUUAAAAAUCGAAUGGUGAAUUUUUUUUAUAUUUUUGUUUGUAUCUGAAUUACAGAAUCAUAUCACAGAAUACAGAAUCAUAUUUUGCAGAUUUCUGAAACAUAAAUAUUGUACCUGCGUUGUAGAACCACAUCACAGAAGAACAAUAGUUUACACCAAAUACAAUGCAAAAAUUGGACAAAUCGUAAUUUUACAACAAAACUAAAUCAAAUGAUUAACCAACAAAAGCAAUUACCAAAAUGGAAAGUCUUGUAAGCUAUUCAAAAGAUCUAUGCUAAGAUUUAUCACCGGUCGUUAAACACCUAUAAUUUGAACAAAAAUUUAAACCAAUUAGGAAAAUCAACAAGAACAUUAAAUCUUUAGUAAAAGGAAUAAAAAAGAGUAAAAUGAAUAAUUAUAAAUUAGUAAGUGAUAUAAAAAAUUUACUUACUAGUUUUCUCAUAUUCUCUUUUUAUGAUCACGACGAAUAACAUGCACAUCAUCUGAAUCAUUUUCUUCAGAUGAUUGACGUACAUGUAUUUUGAAACAAGGGGGCUCGCAGUUAAAAUUUUGAUUUUCAUCAGGAAGAUAUUUUCUUUGAAGUACAAUUAACCAUCUAGUGUUAUAAGGAUUAGUGACAUAAAAAACUUGUUUUACUUGUGUAGCGGGGUAUUCGUUACCUUUAGAUUUAUUGACUAAAUCAAAAGUAAAUCAUACAAUUCGAGUCGCCAUCACAUUUCUAUUUAUCCAAAGGAAAGGUUAGACAGCGAACAAAAACCGAAAAUUUUAUCGAAUCAAAAACUAAUAAAAAUGUCAGAGAUCGGGGGUAAGGGGGUUGGUUAUGCAAUGGGAAGGUUUUAAGCACCCAAAACAUCCUAGGUACUCCUAGGGAGCCCUUUUCACAAUUUGUUGUAAGGUAGGUUGGUAUUUGUGAAAAUUUGUUUGUGCAAACAUGAUUGGGGAGAUGAGAGAAGAAUGUACAAAUUUAUUUAUAAUUUUGUGUUUGAAUGGAUAAAAUCAUUGCCUACGUACCAUCUUAAAAAAGAUUAGGAUCAAAACCCCGUAGUUCGGGGUAAAAAUCUCAAAACAAGUUGGUGAAUUGAUUGGUCCAAAAGCCUUAAGGUCUUUUGUUAUCCAAGGGAGAAAGCUCAACCUAAAACUACAAAUCCAUCAUGUGAGGAUAACUUCAACAUGCUAGUGAGGGGUUAACCCUAUAAUAAGCAUGGAAGUCUUAUAGUCACUCACUAAGGAUAUAGAUGACUAUCAUGUCAACCUCAAGGAUAACUCAAACCUAAUAGCUAUGGUUUAUAAAAGGAACUUUGGGAAGGAGUGGCCAUUGAAACCACAAAAAAAAACAAUUGAGUGAGUUGUAUUUACCAAUGAAAAGUAUUUACAAAAUAUGGUCAAUGUUGACUUAAGAUUCAAUUCAAAAUAAGUGUUAUGAAAAGAAAGUUUGAAAAUCAAAAGCAUAAUGCUUAGGUUUCUAAUUUUGAAAAAAAAUGUUAAUGUUUGCACAAAUAUUUUUGCUUAGGUUAGAGUGGAGGGAAGAAGAAGAAUGACUAAGUCCUAAGCAUACAAGAGAUGAAGGAAGAGAAAUAAGACCACAAUUGGAGUUCCCUUCUUGAGAUCAUAGUGAUGAUCCAAGUAGCUCCCAUCCUUCGGAAUAAGCAAGCAAAUAAGCAAAUACUCAAGCAAACAAUCAAUCAAGCAAGCUCUUAGAAAUCUUCCAAUGGCUCUUGUAUCUCUCACUUUAGAAGCUCAUGACAAUGGUCCUUCAAUUAGGCUCAAGUUGGAAUCCCUAGCACAAGAACACACACAUCAAAAAGUUCUAUAAUGCAAACAAAGAAAUGGACAAGAGUGAGUUUAGAGGUUAGGUCCUUCCAAUUCAUCUUCAACAUUAAGCAUUCUAAAGGCAUGAGGCCUAGUUGCUCUUUGACUUUUAUAACACUCUAAAGGCAUGAGGCCUAGUUGCUCUUUGACUCUAUUUUGCAUAGGAAAUGUCCUAAAGUCUAAGUCCUUUUAUCCAUUUGCAUUUGGUUCACAACAAUCAAAACAAAGCACAAACACAAUAGUAUAUACACAAUUAUGUGCUCAAGUGAGCAAAAGACAAAUUGCAUUAACAUAAACAUGUGCUCAAGUGAGCAAAGGGAAAAAGCAAAUAAAUAAUAUGUACAAGAAUAUUAAAUUGCAUUAAUGUAAAGUGCAAAAAUUAAAAGUUAAUGGUCAAUAGUUAGUGUUAAUGUGUCGUAAGGCAAUUUAGCGCUAUGUUAAGCAAUCGUAAGUGGACUAAUAUAGUAGUCACACCUAUCUGAGGCCGGUCAAUAAAAAUAUAGGCAACAAACACAAUUUAGAGACCUUGAUUAGUAAACCAAGCUCCUACAAAUUGCCAUGUCAAAAGAAAAUGAGAAUGAUCUUGUAUUGAUUUAGGUUUUUUGCUUGAUUAAGAAGCAACCUAUCCUUAAUGCAAAGCCAUUCACUUGAUCUUUGGAUCAAGAUAAAUUAGAUUUGAAUCAAGGAAGAUUAAACCUCCUAUACAUCAAGGCUAACCACCAAUCUUUAACUCAUUGAUCAAAAAGAAAAAAAGAUGAAGAAGAAGAUGGAUAAGAAUGUACAUUGAUUGAACUUCAAAUGGAAUAAGCAAAUUGCAUUGACCAAAGACAAAUGGAAUCAAGGUCAAACACUAGUAAACAGAAGCAAAAUGAAACUUAGAAGUCAAGAAACAAAUAAAAUAUUUUUGGUAUUUUUCAAAAUUAAAAUAAUACUGACUUAAAUAAACAACUUAAAAGUCAAACUUCAAUCCAUUUCAAAUCAACUUGAAAAGUCACAUGGAUCAUCCUAAGUUCAACAAGGUCAAACAAAGUUUGACAAAAAAUUUCAGCAUUUUUAGAAACCAGAAACUAUUUUUAAUCAAUUAAAAAUGCAUAAAGAAUAACCUAAUUGAAAGAGCUUAAGAAAAUAUUUUUGGAUUUUUUGGAUAUUGAAAACUAUUUAAAAUGAAUUAAAAAUAACCAGAAAAGAGAAAAUUCAUGAAAAAUAUCAAAUGAUAAAAUAAAAAAGAUUAAAAAUCAUUUUUAGAAACUAGAAAUUAAAAGAGAAAUAAUGUCAUUGGUCUCAUAUUUUUUGGAAUUAAAAUGAGAGAGAUAUGAUUUUUUGAAAUAAAAUGAAAUAAAAGAAAUUAAAUCAGAAAUUAGAAAAUACAAAAUAAUGUAGUGCGUUGGAUCCAGGCUCAUUAAUUGAGCUGGCACAUCCAAGGGUCCAGACAUGCGCGCGCACCAAACACUUUGGUCAAUGAGACACACACAUCCAUUAAAAAAGUCAUAAAAAUGAAGAGACCAGAUUAGAUCUGGAGAGCAGAUCCGAGGGCUGUGGUUCAUUCUGGCAAACGGACGGUGGUGUACACCACCGUCUUCUCCGGCGAGACCAGAGAUUCCGGCGAGAGUUGCAGAGAAAAAAUCCUAACCAAAUGAGGCGAUCUAUACAUCAAUGGAAAGCCUGUACCAUUUAUUUUCACUCUAGAUCUCCAUGGGAAGAGAAAUCAGAGGUGGAAAAUGACGGUGUUCAUCUUGAACUCAAUGGAAUUUCAAAAUUAAAAGCACAAUUUAAUUGCCUCUGAUGAGAGGACUUCAGCCAAACCAAUAAAUGCAACAAACAAGCUACAAACAAUGUGUUUCGAAGAAGAAAAGUUUGUGUAGCAACCUCUGAAAUGUGGAUCUGGAGAGCAUGAUUUCUCUUGGCUAUUGCUUGCAGUGUGAUCUAGAGAUGAAGAUGAAGCAAGGUCAAGGAAUUUUGAGUCUGAAAAUCAACCAAUGUAGUUGAAAUUCAGAUCUGAAUUUUUGAAAAGAAAGUGAGAAUUCCUUUAGGUAUGGCUAUGGAAUGAUUCUUGCAGCAUAACAGGCGCCUUUAGGUUGCUCAAUUAUGAAGCCUAGCACUCUUAUUUAUAGCAAAUGGGAGCUGCAAGCAUGAGCAAAGUGUGUGCAUGAAUGAAGAGGGCCUCCAUGCAUGGGCCUGUAUAGGCGCAUGGAGGGCCCAAAUCCUAUUGCAAAUGAGUGUUGAUACCACACUAAGUUGAAAUGGACGUGCAAAAUUGAUGCAAUUGGCUUAUGCAAUGAGUUUUCAAGUAGUUUCCAAAAAUGCACCAAAAUGUUCUCCUCUUCGAAAAUGCCUUUGCCAAAAAUGAAACAUGGACUUAUGGGUAAUGGUUGGAAAGCUCUUGACAUGAGGAUCAAUUGUUAUGUUGAGUAAAACUUCAUUUGGAAUGGGAAAUUAGUGAAAAUUGGUCAUAAAGUCCAAUGUGCAAAACAUGUGUAUGUGGAAAUUUCCAAAAAUGGCCAACUUCAAGCCCUUCUGUUUCAAUGAUGAAAGAUUAAAAUGAAAAAUACUUUAACAUAAAAGUUGUAGAUCUUUUCAAGGCAAUCAAUUUGGACUCAAAUUUUUCAUCAUUUUGAUUUUUUAUGAGGAAGUUAUGGGCACUUGAAGUUGGACUUUUUCACAUUUCAAUGCCUUUGGUCCAAAGUGACCUAUAAUGUUUUGCAUUAUCACAUGUAUUUAAUUUAGGAUUAUGAAAAUUUGUUCAACAUAACAAAUGAAUUAGACAUCUUAAAAUUUCCAAUUCAUUUGGUCCCACCUAAAAAUCAUAAAAAAUGAGUAAGUUAUGUCCUUGGGAAGUUGACCCAAAAUUAGGGUUUCAGUCAAAAUGACCUAUAAUGUUUUGAAAUGGAUGAUGACCUUACAAGCUUUAAAUAAAUUUUUAAUGAACAUUAAAGUUGUUCAUAUGGUUCUUAAGAACAUUUUUUCUCUUGGGUUCAUCUUCAUUUGACAAACACAUUAAAAGUUAGGUCUCAGUGUAUUUCAAAAUAGUCAGAUGAAUUGACUAAUCAACUUCUCAAGUCCAUACCUCAAAUCUUGAUGAAUUGAUGAUUGAGUAUACUUAAAUAAGCUCAAAUAUGCAUGAAAUGAUGAGUGGAAGAACUUCACUUGAUUGUAUUUGAUCAUGGGGUGAGGUUGCUUCAUGAGUAAGACACAGUUGAUGCACAGAUGAAUUAGGGUUUCCUUGGGAAACAAUCCUCAAGCCCUUUGGUUUGAUUUGAUAAAAUUGACAAAUUGAGAUAAUUGGGAGGCAUAUAUGAUGAAUGAGAGCUUUGUGAACCAUUGUCAUGCUUGCUUUCACUUCAUCUGGCCAAAUCUAUGAGCAUAAGGGCCUCCUAGGAGCCUUAGUCUUUGUGAUUGCUCAAACUACAAAACAACAGAUGUUAGUGACAUAUUUUUGUGCUUUUGGUUAGUAAACAAAAUAAGAAAAGAAAUGAUAUACAAUUAAGUAUGCUUGGUGAUCUCAAACCAACUCACAAGUGUUCCCACCCAAAGGUUAAGGAUCCAAGAUGCUAUGAUCCUUGAGGCAAAUGCAAAAAAUGCAAUGAUAUGAUGCCAUGAGGGAUCUUAGGGUCAAAAUUAGGGUCUUACAGCUUGGGUUACCAUGAUGAAUGGUUUGUUCUUAUAAGUUGUCUUUCUAAGAUCAACCCAUGUGAAUCCUAAUUCAUCGAUUUCUACACCAGUGUUAUUGCCAAUUUGGUUGCACUUAAAUAAAGACACUUUAAAAGAAACAUAAUCAAUCUCCAUAAUCUUUCCAAUGAACCCAAAGUAUGCUCUAGAUGCUAGUACAAGAUUGUUAUCUUUGGCACUAGAGAAGUACAUGGAUUCAACUUCAACAAUAACCCCGCUAUUUUGCAUGGUACUACAAUCAUCCUUUGAUUUUUUUAUAGAAUGAAUAUUUAGUAAUGUCGUACGCACUCCAUGUAAUUACAUUAAACUUAGGCAUACGUGACAACCAUUUAAUUGUCUCCGAUGCACAAGUACUCUCUUUAGAAACACUUUCAUUAAACCAAGUUAGGAAAGUUUUGUUAUGCUCUGUCAAAAACUAUUUUUCAUUCAUCCGGGGGUAUUUUUCCUUUAUAAGACUUUUGUGAGCGGUCAAGUAAGGUUGAACUUCAGGCAGGUUAUUCAAUAUAUACAAAUGUGCUUGAAGAAUUACAUCUCGGCUAAAAGUUUGAACAUUUAAACCUUGAACACUUCUACCAUUAUAUCUUCCCUCAUGACGAGACUUGGGAAUUCCUAUAGAGAUAACUUCUGACAAAUACAUUGUACAAAACUCAAUAGUUUUUUUCGUUAUGUGUCGUUCAACGAUCGAAGCUUCUCGGCGGUGAUGAUUCUUUGUAUACCCUUUUAAGGUUUUCAUGUAUCGCUCUAUGUGAUACAUCCAUCAUAAAUAAAUUAGACCAUAAAUUCUAAUCUCCCUUACUAGAUGACUAAGUGAAUCAUAAUGUAAAAGAAUGAUGAAGGGAAAAAUAUCUCUAAUUGAAACAAGAUAAUUGCAGCCCCAUGUUCCAACUCAUCUAAAUUUUCAGGAUCAAUGACUUUACCACAUAUAGCAUUGAAGAAUAAGCACAAUCUGGUUAUAGUUACCCUUACAUUCCUUGGUAAAAUUUCACAGAUAGCCACUAGUAUAAGUUGUUGCAUCAAGACAUGACAAUCAUGAGAUUUUAAGCCAACUAAUUUGUGAUCAUUUUCUAACACAAGUUUCUUCAUAUUUUAUUAGUACCCUUGAGUAACUUUGAUACACUGCAAACAAUCACAAUUUUUUUUUACUUUUUUAGACAGAGUGUGAUAAGAUGGGGCAAAUAUGUUAUAUUUCCUAUUUCUUUUUGGGCUAACUCUUUCCGUAUACCCAUCACAAUUAUAUCUUCACGGGAUUUCUUAGUAUCUUUUAUCUUGCCUUUAAUGUUGAGAAAUGUUCCAAUCAAACUAUCACAUUUUUUUUCUCCACAUGCAUCACAUCCAGAAAAUGUCUUACAUCAAAACUAGACCAAUAUAGAAGAUCAAAGAACACCAACCUUUUUUUCCAACUAUUUAUCUUCAUGUGCCCUUUUUGUUUACCUUUUAGUUUAUUUCCAAAUACAACCUUAAUAUAUUGUUGUCUUUUAUAAUCUUCCUUCCCAGUUCAGGGCUUUGGAGAGAAAUCAAACUCUUGCUCUCUAUUAAAAGCCUUUUGUAAUCUACGGUAUGGAUGAUAAGGUCUUAAAAAAAUUUAUGCCCAAGAUAAACAUACUUUUUUUUUCCAUUUUUUAAUUGGUGGUGGCAUGUAUCAAAUUUUCACAUACAAGACACACUUUAUGUCCCUCGACGUUGUACCCAGAUAAAUUAUUGUAUGUAGGAAAGUCAUUGAUUGUGCAAAAUAACAUGACACACAAUUUAAAAUUAUCACAUGUAUACACAUCAUCAACGUCAACACCUUCCUCCCACGAAAGUCUUAAUUCUUCAAUCAAUGGAGUUAAAUAAACAUCUAUGUCAUUCCCUGGUUGUUUUGGACUCGAAAUCAUCAUUGAUAACAAUAUAUAUUUGCGCUUCAUGAACAACCAUGAAGAUAGGUUAUAAAUUAUGAGAAGAACGGAUCAUGGUGUAUGGUUAGUACUCAAACUAUCAAAAGGGUUCAUUCCGUCGGUGGCAAGUCCAAGCCUAAGGUUCCUCGGUUCUAGUGCAAAAUCUGGACACAAGGAAUUAAUUUUCUUCCAUUGCAAUGAAUCAGCUACAUGGAAAUUUUUUCCAUUACACACUCUUUCAUCAGCAUUCCAUCUAGUAUUCUUUUCAUCAUUUGCAUUAGAAAACAAUCUCUUGAACCAUUGAAUUACCGGUAGGUACCACAUAACCUUGGAAGGAACACCCUUUCUAGUUGCAUUAUCAUCGUCUUUAACAUCAUUGGCCUUCUUCUUAUAACAUGAAUCCCCACAUCUCGGACACUCCUUUAAGUUUUCAUAUUCUUUCCUAUAUAAUAUACAAUCAUUACUACAUGCAUGUGUUUUUACAUAAUCCAAACUCACUGGACACAAUAUCUUCUAGGCCUCAUAACUACGGUUUGGCAACAUGCUACCUUUUGGAAGCAUUUCUUGCAACAAUUCAAGCAAUUCAGUGAAACUUUUAUUCUUCCACCCACCUCUUGCCUUAAGAUUAAAUAGUAUUAACACAUUUUACAAUCUUGUAAAACUUUUGCAUCCCAGAGACAACGAUCCUUCCAUGUCUUUUUGCAAAGUAUCUACCACAUUAGCAUUCUUGAAAGCAUCUACCUCAAUAUCACGAAUCAUAUCUUCUAGAGUAUCAUUCAUAAAUUCAUCAUCAUCUUCAAUUGUAUGUGACAAAGGUCUUUGUUUGGUCACUUCACCAUGUCAUAAUACCCAUUUCGUGUAAUUUUGAAUAAUUCCAUCACAACCUAAAUGAUUGAAUAUUUCAUCCAUUGUAUGUUUGUGCAUAUUUCGGAAAAUUUUACAAGGACACCAAAAAAUCCCCUUCUCCUUAGGAAGUUUUUUUUCUUGCAAAAUCAAGAAAUUGAACCACUCCAUUCUCAUACUCUUUACUUAAUCUAUUGACUUUCAUCCAACUAUGGUCCAUAAUCACACACAACUUCUGAAAAUAAAAUAAAAAUAAUACACAACUAACAAUAACUACCAGAAGAACAACAAGAAAUACCAUAACAAUAUUAUAGUAAACAGUAUAAGUCUCAAAAACCAUAAUAAUAACAACAACAACAACCACAUACGACAACAACAUCAACUACGGAACAACAACAACAAUAACAACAACGACGACAACGACCUACAGCUACAAUAACAACGACGGAAACAACAACAAUAAUAAUGAAGAAUUUGUACAUAUCGAAAAUGUGAUGAGAGACUCAACGGGGAAGAAUUCGAGAUUACUUUCUCCCCGGAGAAGCAGGGUGGUGAUUCUGAGUCUUGGGAAACUCUUUCGUUCGUUGGAGAAGAAUUAGUUCCUUUCGUUCGCUAGAGCGCAAAAAGUGAAUGAGACAAAACAUUAUAAUUCUGAAAGAAUAAAUUUUUUUUUUUGAGUUUUUAUCUCGGUUUUGUUCAAUAACUGAGGGAUAAUAUCCGACAUAAAAUGUAUAAAAAAUAAAGACACAUUUUUAAUUGUAAAUAAAACAUAAAAUUGUAGGAGCUGAGAAUCAAAGCUUAAACACUGAACAAUAUUUUAUGUCGGUUUUCCUCGAAAGUUGAGGUGAAAGAUAAAGUUUCUUUAAAAAAUUAAUAUAUAGCACGUUCCAGGUUAUUUGACCUUGGUUUUUCAAUAAUUGAGGUGAAAGUUUUGUCAUGAAAUGUAAUAUUUGUAGUAGUGACUCUUAGAAUUUUCAUAUCCUCACUUGAGUUGUCUUUGAUUUUAGCUAAUUUUCUUGGUAGAUGACUUUUAAUAUUGGAACCGACUUUCCAACCAUACUUCAUGCACAAUUUCAAUUCAUUUACAAAUAUUAGAUUUUUCAACAGGAGAUUCCACUUUGAUUAUUAGCAGUGGGUAAUUGAAUUAUAAAUUUUGCAAAUGAAUAAUCUUUCAAACUUCUAGUUCAUAUUAGUUUAUACGAGAAUCAAUAUAAUAAUUUAUUUUAAAUUGUUCAUUUGAACUUCUGAUUCACACUUUCAAUUUCUUAUUCUCUUCCCUUAAUAAUGGAAAUCCCUUAAUAAUGGAAAUUUUAAUUUAUUAAUUGAUAAUCAGCCUAAUGGGUUGCAAUCAAGUACUCAAUUAUUUACUCAAGUUAUAUCCUAAAAAAUGGGAUUCGUAUCAAUUAUAUUUUUCCAAUAUUCUUUCAGAACGCAUCUUAGUAUAUUGUAUUGGACUAAUUAAAACACACACAACACAUCUAAAAGUCCACUUAAAUGAUACAUAUUAGCUUAUUAAUAUAAAAUAAAUUGUAUUUUAAGGGAGGAGAAAGAUAUAGUAAUAGGUUAACUUAAUGCGAAUAAAUAUCUUAAUAUUUAUGUUUACGUGUUUUUAAUAUCUAAUUUAGAAUUUAUGAUCUAAUAAGUAUCACUCAUUCAAUUAAAUUUAGACGUCUAAAGAAGGAUCUUCAAGUCCAUUAUUUAUAAAUAUUUACUAGAAGAUAUUCAAUAUCAAUUUUAAUAAUAUAUGCGAUACUUAUCAAAAGCUUUUUAAAAAUGUAAAAACUGAGAUCUUAAUCUAAUUAGUUGAGAAAACAAUUUCACCAAAUAAUCUUAUAAAAUAUUUAAAUAGUCUACAUAUUUGAUGUAUCGAUUCCCAAAUAGGGUUGAAGAACCUAGGUUGAACAACUGCAAAGAGAUGAGAUGAAGAAACGUAGGUUGAAGAAGUUUGAAAGUUACCUAUAGAUUGAAGAAAUAUGAAGAAACCCAGAUUGAAGAAACCUAAAAACAACAAUUGAAAUUAGAUAUACAUACAUUGACCAUGUUAAUAUUAUAUAUAAAACAUUUCAUUUUACUUGCCAAUAGACAAAUAGCUCAAGUGGUGGAUAUAAUAUGCCACGUCAGAUGCCACACGUGUAGAAAUAUAUGCCACGUCAGAUGCCACACGUGUAGAAAUAUAUGUCGAUUGUGAAAAUUAAACGGAAAUGACAUAAAUAACGUCAUUUGAAAACAUAAGGGACUAUAUUGACACUUUUAAAAGUUAAGUGGCCAAAAUGAACCCCGAAAUAAAUUCAAGGGACUGAAAAAAGUAUUUUAUCAAUAGUUUUUUUAAUCAUGUAUAUAUCAACUAUUAUUGUUCAUAUACAAAAUUGUUUUAAAACACAAUUGUUGUUUAAUAAAAGUGUAUAUAUCAUAUAGUAAAGCUAGAGUCACGACUACAUGCUUCCGAAAUUUUAAUAAAAGGAGAAGAAAAGAAACUCUAAGUUAGUUGCCACAUCUCUCUCUCUCAUUCUUCCACCACCACAAUCCUUCAUCUCCUUCUUUCUUUCUCUAUUCUCCUUUAAUUGAUGGAGAUUUGCAUCUAAUGGUUAACUCAAAUAAAGGGGGUGAUUGUAAUAGAUAACUAUAACUAAUACUGUAUUUAUUUGUAUUAUUGCUUAAUAGUAGUAGUUAGCUACCUAUCUAAUAGGAACAGAAUGUGGAUUAUCCAUCCCUAGUCUCAAGGAAGAACUCCCUUAAUAUUUGGAGUUUCAGUUUCACCCCUGUAUUAUAAAUAACCAUCACUUUGGCAAUUACAAUAUAUAAAACAAUCAUCCCUUUUAUGGUAUCAGAGCAAAUUAACUUAAAAGUUUCUUUCUCUCGAUCAUUCAUUCAUGGCAUCACCAGAUUCUGAUGUUGAAACUCCCCAAGGGACACCCACUAUGUCAUCACCGGCUGACAAGUUAAUUGUUUUGAAUGCCGGAUCUCAACUCUGCAUCAAGCUUGAUGGAGGACAAUUAUCCGCUUGGAGGAAUUCAGUUCAUGGCUCUCUUAACAGGCUAUGAUCUCAUGCGCUAUGUUGAUGGAAGUAAACCAUGUCCAUCCAAAAGUGGGAGAACAAUACUACGACUGUUUAAUCCAGUCUUUACACAUUGGGUUGACAAGAACUCAUUUUACAUAGCAUCAUUUCCUCUGUGCUGCAACAGUGGUCACACACUUAGGCAUUGUCAAAACCUCCAAUCCAAGAUGGAGAUUCUGAAAACCUGUAUGAUGGUGCGCUCCUGCUUUGCGUGUAAUGACACCAACAAAAAAUUUCCAAUUUUCAAAAAAGGAAUCAAUCCAUGGCUAAUACUUCAAGGAAUUAAAGCCAUCUCAGAUAAUUAUCAACCAUAAUCACCCAUUGAAACUGAUCUUGUGAUUCACACGCUCAAUGGCUUGACCGAUGAGAUACGUGAAAUUUCUGCUGCACUUAGAAGUAGAGAGUCUCCAAUUGUCUUUGCUGAAUUACAUGAAAAGCUUAUGGACUUUGAAACCAUCCAUCAUCGUGCAGCGCAAGAGGCAGCUGAUAUUGUUUCCACUGCUAAUGUUGUCACAAGAAAUAAAGCGAAUCAAUACAGGAACAACAACAACCGCGGCUCCUCCCCUACUCAACGAACUGGUGAAAGCAAAAUUGUAUGUCAGUUUUGUGACAAGCCAGGCCAUGUUGCGAAGAACUGCUACCAAAUUAAGGGCUUUCCGAAAAGGCGUGGCAUUAAACCGACUGUAAACCUGGCUCAGAAUCAUACUGCCACCCAGAGUCCCAACUGGAUAAUGGAUACAGGAGCAUCUCAUCAUAUUUCACAAGACCUGCAACAACUUACGUUAGCAAAUUCAUAUCCUGGAGAAGAUCAGGUCGUUGUCGGCGAUGGAACAGGUUUGAAAAUUACUCAUACUGGUAACUCUAUCAUUCACACCCCUGUUAAACCCCUUUAUCUCAAACAAGUCUUGCAUGUUCCUAAAAUCCAGUCUAAUUUAUUAUCUGUUUCAAAACUAUGUCAAUCUAAUACUUGUUUUGUUGAAUUUUUUCCAAACCAUUUUAUUGUCAAGGACUUGAAUUCGGGUCAGGCUCUACUCCAAGGUCCUCUUAAACAAAAUCUAUAUCAUUUACCCGCGGCUAUCAUUCCUUCACGUACACCUCAUGCAUUGUAUAUAAGCAUCCAUUAUGCAUCUACAUGGCAUCAUAAGUUAGGUCAUCCUUCUUUCAAAAUAAUAAAGCAUCUGAUUGACGGUCAUCAUCUACCAAUAAAGCUUCCAACAUCUCAUGAGUGUAGUUCAUGUCAUUGUGCCAAAAGUCACAAACUGCCUUUCUCAAAUCAUCAUCUCACAAGUAGCAAACCAUUGGAACUUUUGUACUCUGAUGUUUGGGGACCGGCUCCUGUUAGAUCGUUAGAUGGUUAUUUGUACUAUUUAAUCAUUGUAGAUCAUUUUUCCAAAUAUGUUUGGUUGUAUCCAAUGAAACAUAAAUCAGAUGUAUUUACCAUUUUUGUUCAAUUUAAGUCCAUUGUUGAAAAAAAGUUUAACUUGCCUAUUGUCUCUCUUUUCUCUGAUAAUGGUGGAGAAUUUAUCAAAUUGAAAUCUUUUCUGGCUAACAAAGGUAUUUCUCACUUAACCACACCACCACACACACCCGAGGUAAAUGGUACAGCUGAAAGGAGACACCGACAUGUUGUUGAAACAGGUCGUGCUCUCUUGCAUCAUGCUAACCUACCACCUCAAUUCUGGUCAUUUGCAUUCACUACUGCAGUUUACCUCAUCAACAGAAUGCCAAAACCAAUCAUUGAGAUGAACUCUCCCUUUGAACUCUUGUUUCAUCUAAAACCGGACUAUAGCAAACUUCACUCAUUUGGAUGCUUGUGCUAUCCAUGGUUAAAACCAUACAUGCAAAAUAAACUCCAACCUAGGUCAAAACCUUGUAUAUUCCUAGGAUACUCUAUGUCUCAACAUGCCUACAUCUGCCUAGAACCAUUGUCAAAUAGGGUCUAUGUCUCUAGGCAUGUUAAGUUUGUGGAAAAUUCAUUUCCUUAUCAAUCAAUAGUAACACCAUCACCUGUCCAAACACUUCCAACAUUUGAUUCUCCCAUUCACAGUAUUAUAAAUGUUCCACGUGAACCCACAAAUACUGCUCCAGUAACAUCUCUACAAGAUCAAGUUGGUUCAAGUCGCUCUGCUGUACCUGUUCCAACUCAAACUCCCACAUGCUGUCAGCUCCCUGAGUCACCUGUAUUGUCGUUGGAAAAUGCUCCGAGUCCAUUCCCCAUACCUGCACCAUCUAUGCUCGAGUCACAAUCACCAAUCCAGUCAUCUGUUCCUGAGUCAACUUCAGCGUCUGUACCGGUCAGUGAGCUUCCACGAUUAGAGUCUAAUUUACAAACAUGUUCUAUCACCAACAACAAUUAUGAUGCACCUAAUACGGAAUGCAUUAAACCUGCAGUUCAUGAUCCUAUUGUUACAAGGUCUCACCAUAAUAUCUUCAAACCAAAGAAAACAUUUGUUGCCACCAAACAUGAUUUACAAGAAAAUCUUGAACCGUCCACCAUCACUCAAGCUCUUAAAAUAUCACAUUGGAGAGAUGCAUGCUCAACAUAAUUUAAUGCACUAAUGAAUAAUGGCACUUGGACCUUAGUUCCACGAGACACACAUACCAAUUUAGUCGGCUGCAAGUGGUUGUUCAGAAUUAAAAGAAAUCCAGAUGGAAGUGUGGCAUGAUAUAAGGCCAGGUUAGUAGCAAAGGGAUUCACUCAAACACCGGGUCUUGAUUUCAAAGAAACCUUUGUUCCCGUUGUAAAACCUCAAACAAUUAAAGUAGUCCUCACGAUCGCACUCGGACAAGGGUGGAGUUUACAUCAAAUGGAUGUUAACAAUGCGUUUCUGCAAGGCAAAUUAUCUAAAAAUGUAUACAUGCAACAACCUUCUGGUUUCAUCCAUUCAGAAUUUCCAAAUCAUGUUUGCAAACUUCAAAAAGCCAUUUAUGGUUUGAGACAAGCUCCUCGUGCGUGGCAUGAAUCGCUUAAAAACUUUGUGAUUUCAGUUGGUUCAUCACCCAAGCUUAAAUGAUUCUAUUGAUAUUAUUAUCUAACAAAUAAAGACGGUGUCCGCAAGCUUCUGUUAUUCGUUUGAUCUAUGUUGAAUGAUCUAGCUGCUGACAAGUACUAACCACUUCCAUUCUAAAUCAGUUAUGACAGAGCUUCGAAAAAAAUAUCUCCAAAACUUGGUUUCCACUUUAUAAUUGCUUGCAAUAGACUUAUUUCAAUACCAAACUGGCUUUGUUUCUGUCAACAACAUGGUUUAGCAUCAGAUACCUAUUGCAUAAGUUUAAUAUGGCAGGAGCUAAAGACUACAUAACAACUCCAUUGUGUAUGACUACACCCCUCAAGUUAGAGGAUGGAUCAGCUCCUGCUGACUCAAAAAUGUUUCGUAGCAUCAUUGGAGCUCUUCAAUACAUCACAUUAACCAGGCCAGAUCUAGCAUUUGCCGUAAAUAAACUGUCACAAUUCAUGCAUCAACCAACUGAAUUUCAUGUUCAGCAACUUAAAAGAGUAUUACGGUAUCUCAAGUUCACUAUCAACCAUGGCUUGAAACUGACAAAGCCAAUUCAUCUGAAAUUACAAGCAUAUACCGAUGCGGAUUGGGGUGGUAAUCAUGAUGACAAAACAUCAACUUCAACCUACAUAAUUUAUCUCGGUGGUAAUCCUGUUUCUUGGUUAUCAAAACGACAACGAACAGUUGCAAGAUCCUCAACAGAAGCAGAAUACAGGUCUGCUGCCAAUUCUACAGCAGAAAUUAUGUGGCUUUCAAAUCUUUUGGGUGAACUUGGCAUACAAUCUCAAAUACCUACCAUUUUCUGUGAUAAUAUUGGUACAACUUACCUAUGUUCUAAUCCAGUUUUUCAUUCAAGAAUGAAGCACAUCGCACUUGACUAUCAUUUUGUGCGGCAACAAGUUCANGGUACAGCUGAAAAGGGAGACCACAUGUGUUGAAACAGGUCGUCUCUCUUGUAUAUGUAACUACCAGUAAUUCUGUAUUUGAUUCAGUAAUGCAGGUUUACUCAUCAACAGAAUGACCAAACCAAUAUUGAGAGAACUCUCCCUUUUGAACUCUUUUUCAAUCUAACGACCGACGCUAUAGCAAACUCUCCACUCUUUGGAUGCUUAUGAGUGCUACUCAUUGGUUUAAAACGUACAUGAAAUGACAAAAUAACUCCACCUAAGAGUCAUAACCUUAUACAAUUCAUAGGUGAUCACUCUAUUCUCAACAUGCCUACAUCUGACCUUAUGAACAUGUUAAAUAGGGACUCUAUGUCUCUAGGCAUGUAUAGUUGUGAAAAUUCGAGUCGCUUACCAAUCAAUAGAUGAUAGACACAUACUACACCUGUCCAAACACUUCAACAUUGAUUUCUCCAUUCCGUACUUAUAAAUGUUCCACGUGAAACCACAAAUAUUGCCUCCAGUAACCAUCUCUACAAGAUCAAGUUGUUCAAGUCGCUCUUUGCGUACUUUCCCAACUCAAACUCCUCAGCUGUACAGCUCCCUGAGUCACCUGUAUUGUUCUUGGAAAUGCUCCGAGUCAUUCCCACACCUGCAGACCAUCUAUGCUCGAGUCACAAUCACCAAUCCAGUCAUCUGUUCUCUGAGUCAACUUCAGCGUCUGUACGUCAGUGAAGCUUCACAGGCGAUAUAAGUCUAAUUUACACAGUUCUAUCACCAACAACAAUAUGAAUGCACCUAAUACGAGAAAUGCAUUAACUCUUGCGUUGCAGAUCACAUGUUACAAGGUCUCACCAUAAUAUCUUCAAAACCAAGAAAAGAACAUUGUGCCCCCCCCCCCCCCCCCCCCACCAAAAUGAUUAAACAAGACAAAAUCUUGAAUCCGAUCCACCAUCACUCAGUCUUAAAAUACCAUGGAGAGAUGGCCAUGCUAACAUAAAAUUUAAUGCACUAAUGAAUAAUCGGACUUGGACCUUAGUUUCCCAGAGACACACUAUCCAUUAGUCGCUGCAUGGUGUUUCAGAAUUAAAAGAAAUCAGUGAAAGGUGAUGAAUAUAUGGCCGAGGUAGUAGCAAAAGGAUUCACCUAAACUGACGACCGGUUGCUUGAUUUCACAGAAACUUUUGUAGAUCCUGUUGUAAACCUAACAAUUAAAGUAGUCCUACGAUGCACAUCGGACAAGGAGUGGAGUUUUACAUCAAGAGUGGAUGAUUACACAAUUCGCGUUCUGACAGGCAAUAAUGUUUCUAAAAAUAUAUACAUGCAGAACACACCUUAUCUGUUUCAUCCGUUCAGAAUUUUCCAAUCAGUGUUUGCCCGCAAAAACUUCAUAAAGCCAUUUUUUGGUUUGAGACAAGGGCUCCUCGUGCGUGGCAUGAAUGGCAUUAUUAAACAUUGUGAUUUCAGUUGGUUCUCACAAGCUUAAUGAUCUCAUUGUCAUUAUCUAACAAUACCAACGGUGUCCGCAGCUUCUGUUAUCGUUGUCUAUGUUGAUGAUCUAUGCUGACAAGUACAACCACUUCCAUCUUAAAUAGUUAGACAGAGCUUCGAAAAAAAUCUCUCAACAAACUUGGGUUUCCCACUUUUAUAUUGCGUUGGCAUAGAACUUAUUUCCAACCAAACUGGCUUUGUUUCUGUCACACAACAAUGGUUUAGCAUCAAGAUACCUAUUGCAUAAGUUUAAAUAAUGGCAGGAGCUAACAACUACAACAACUCUUGUGUAGACUACACCUUAAGUUAGAGGAUGGAUUCAGCUCCUGCUGACUCAAAUAAUGUUUCGGUAGCAUCAUUGAGCUUUCAAAUAAUCACAAUUAACCAGCCAGAAUCAGAUUUGCCGUAAAUAAACUGUCACAAUCAUGAUCAACCCACUGAAUUUCUGUCACCAACUUAAAAGAGUUAUUACGACGUUAUCUCAAAGUAUCACUAUCACCAAUGCUGAACUGACAAACCAAUCAUCUGACAUUACAAGCUAUACGAUGGGAUUGGGUGUAAUCAUCGAUGACAAAACAUCACUUCAACCUCAUAAUUUAUUCUCUAGUGGUAUCCUUUCUUUGGUUAUAAACCAGAACGUUGCAAGAAUCAGAGCUCAUACGUGGGCAAAACUGCUGCAUAUUCUAGAAGCAGAAUUAUGUGGCUUUCAAAUCUUUGGGUGAACUUUGGAACAAUCUCAAUCCUAUCCAUUUCUGUGAUUAUUGGUAAACCUACUGUUCUAAUCCAGUUUUUCAUCAAGAAUGAAGGCACAUCGCACCUGACUAUCAUUUUGUGCUGGUCAACACGUUCCAAAAUGGAAACUUACAGUCUCUCACAUCUCUACAAAGGACCAACUUGCAGAUAUUCUCACAAAACCGUUACAUCGUAGUCGGUUCACACAUCUUAGAGACAAAAUUGGAGUCGUUGACUGUGACCCAAUUUUGCAGGGGCAUAAUAGAUAGCUAUAACUAAUACUGUAUUUAUUUGUAUUAUUGCUUAAUAGUAGUAGUUAGCUACCUAUCUAAUAGGAACUGAUUGUGGAUUAUCCAUCCCUAGUCUCAAGAAAGAACUCCCUUAAUAUUUGGAGUUUCAGUUUCACCCCUGUAUUAUAAAUAGCCAUCACUUUGGCAAUUACAAUAUAUAAAACAAUCAUCCCUUUUAGAUUGGAGCUACCCCAUUUAUAUCUGACCCGGUUUGCUCCAUAAACCCGAACUUUUCCAUAUGUUUAGUAGUGACAGUUCAACCAAAAACUUCCACGUGACUAACACUACAGUUGCACAUUUUUAUUUAGACAAGGUUGUUGAGGCUUUAAGGAAACCCAAAUGUUUCUAUUGAGAGUGUAAUUUUACCUGAUGGUGAGCAGUACAAGGACAUGUUAGGUAGUUUUUAGUGUUUGAAUUGAUUUUUGUAUUUGUUUACACUUUGGUUAAUGUUGUGAAAAUUGAUUGAUUUUUGAUUAAUAUGAUACUCUUAUGAAAGUGUUUAACAAGGCCAUUGAGUCUUAGUUGGAUCGGGCGAUGUACUUUUGUUGCUCUUGGCAGUGUAUAUGUGUGGCUUUGCAACCACUGCAUUCCUACGCGGUGUUAAUUUUAUUCAGAUUCCAACUACUGAUAUGGCACAUGUCUUUCGCUGCUCUUUUUUAAAUUUCUUUUCAUGAUGUAUGUCAAUUAGGUUUAUGAUGUUGUGUUAUGUUGAUGGUUCUAGUUUAUGCUAUCUAUAUUAUCCCUUUCCAUAUUCAUUAGAUUCUGUGUAUUAUGUUCUUAGGCUGAUUCUUCGAUUGAUGGUAUAAUUGAUCUGUGCUUUUUACCAAACUCAGUGUAUGCUUAUAAACACAAACACAUUAAAUACAUUACGAGAGAGGGAACUAGCAUCAGGGUUUGCAAAGGUUAUAAAGUAUGAUCUCAUUAGGGAUGCCAAUUUUUUUAGUGGAAAGAAAAAAUAUGCAGGCUUUGAUGGAGAUUUGUAGAAGAAAAUAAACAAAGUGACAAUGAGGAAGUUAGAAAUGACCGUGUUGAAAGUGCAGAAGAAAACAAUAGCCUCCGAAGAAUUGUUAGUUAUUUUUUUACACUUAAUCAAUAUUUUGUGGUGAUUUUUAACCUCGAAGACAAAACCUCUCUAAAAUAAUAUUUUUUUAAUACAUAUAUUGACACAACUUAUUAACUAAUGCCUACCUUAACAACGAAGAUCUUUUUGUGUAACAAAAUAAUUUUUAAGAGACCAAUAUGUAACAUUUUUUUAGUUAAGAGACCAAAAUAAAACAUUAAAUUAAGUUAAAUGACUUAUUACUGGUUAAUAAUAAUUUCUAUCCUCCGAAACCAUUCUUAAAUACAAUUUUUCUCAUGUUAUUUUUCAAUCACAAUUGUGAUUAAUCUUUCAAGAUAUUCUUAAAAUUAUAUUCUUAAUUUUGCUAUUUUAGGAGCAUAUUCAAGAAACAUAAUAAUUUUGUUUUCUCCAACUUAUACUUAAAUCAAAUUGAUCUUAAUAAAUUUAAUCACAUUCUAAUAGUUUAGUUCUAAUAAAACUCAACCACAAUUUACUAUGAUAAAGGUCAAUAAUUAUAAUCCUCCAAGGAUGUUUGAAAGUAAAUUAUUAGUUCUUAGGCAACUAUGUCUCACAUACCAUGACGAGAAAAUUUAUUUAUUGGGCAAUUCUUCAAUGAUGUUUUUAUAUUAGAUUUAUAGUGCACCCUGCAAGAAAAAAAAUCAUUCUAAGAGCAAUCCUUCAAGAUUCCUUUUGGAAUCAUUCAAGGAUCCAAUAUCAUAGAUCUUCGAAUAAUGAUAAAUAUUUUUCCGUGCAAUCCUUUAGAGAUACUUCAUUGUAUAACUAUGAAGAAGAUGAAUUUUAAUUGCAAGAACUAUACAAAUGACUUUCGUUAAGAAAGAUCAAGAGAAUUCAUAGUAUGUGAGCAAUCCUUAUUUUAAAACUUUUAACUCUUCAAGAAUUAUACAUCACAAAUGAUCUUUGUGGUGAUUAAGAACAAACUAUUAUUUACAUAAUCCUUUUAGGAUGCUCGAUAAAAAAAAUCUUUAAAACCAUGUCACAAAUAUUCACAUCAAUAAAGAAAACUAAUUAUUUUAGCAAUCCAUUGGGAUAUUUUGACAAUAUUCAUGCAAUCCUUCUAGGAUAUUUUAACAUUAUUUAGGCAAUUCUUCUGUGAUAUUUUAACAUUAUUCAUGUCAUCCUUCUGGGAUGCAUGAAAAUCAUCAACCAAUAGAUCAAUACAUAAUAGGUAGAGUUACUAAUAUAUAUUAUAAAAAAAAACUACCUUCUAAAUCUUGGAGCUUUGUGAGCCAAAAUUAUAACCAUAUAAGCUCGGAGCCAUUUAUAAUCAUAAAAUUUUAUAGAGUAUUGUGAUGAUAACGUGUUAUGAAAAUAAACAAAAUAAUAAAAGAGAGAAAGAAGAAUGAUAGAGUGUAUUGUAGUAUUCUCAUUAUCAGUGUUAAUUUUGAAUACAAUAUGCAUUCUAUUUACAAGACAUACGUAAUGAAAGGAAAAUCAAUAUGGAAUCUACUCAUUUAUGGACAUCCAUAAUCAAACCAUUUAUAAGAAGAAUAAAAUACCUUGAAUGAAGAGAGAGAAGCUAUAAAAUGAUGUAUAAAUGCUUUUAUAGAUGAUCUACUUUUGUCAAGUCUCAAAUUUAAAUCUUUCACGAAUGAGUCAAUCUUUGGAGUUGAACAAAUGUUUAAUUAAGGUUAGAGUUUCAACAAAGAAGAUAUACAUAAACCAAAAUAUUUUUUUAUUAAAAAAACUUAACACUCUUUGUUUGAUUAUUAGGCAUGACAAUGGGGCGUAACACAUAUACUUUUUAGCUAUUCCAUCUUAAAACUUGACUCUCUUAUAAACCAUUGUUCUCCGCUCAAAAUUUUCAUGUGUGAUCCUAAUUGAUAGCUUGUUAUCCAUAACAAACUCUUACUCAAUUCUCCCUGAAUCUUCCUUAUACCUAAGUCAUAAGUGAUCCUAAGUGGUAGCUUGUUAUCAAUAACGAACUCUUACUACUAAUAAUACUUAGGAUUUAGUCCCUUUACCACCUAACAAAAGGUUUAUUGGCUACAAGUGGAUUUUCAAAAUAAUAUUUUAGACCAAUAAGACUAUUGAGAGGUAUAAAGCUCAUUUAGUAGAUAAGGGAUUUAAUAAAACCAAAGAAAUUUAGUAGAUAAGGGAUUUAAUAAAACCAAAGAAAAUGAUUACUUAGAAACCUUUAGUCUAGUAGUGAAGAGGACUACUAUACACAUCAUUCUCUCCUUAGUUGCUUCUUAUAAUUGGUAUCUCCUCCAAUUAUAUGGCAAUAUAUCCUUUUUUUACAUGGAGAUCUAGAGAAGGAUGUGUACAUGAAAAUCCCUCAUGGACUAAAAGUCUGUAUCAAAUAUUUAGUUUGUAAAUUAAAUAGAUUAAUCUACGGUCUAAAACAAGCUAGUAGGCAGCGGAAUCAAAAGUUCACUUCUACUCUUACUAACUUAGACUACAUCAAUUAUAAAUAGAAUUAAUCCAUAUUUACUAAAUCUCAUACUAAUUCCUUUAUUGUUUUCUUAGUCCAUGAUGAUGAUUUAAUUGUUAUCGGAAAUAAUAUGGAUGAAAUUACCAACUUAAAAUUUGUCUUGGAUUCUAAAUUCAACAUCAAAGAUCUUGGCAACUUAAAGUUCUUUAUUAGAUUCGAAGUGGUACGGUCCUCUCAAGGCAUAUCGAUAUUCCAACGAGAAAAAGUUGGAUCAUUAUUGAUUUUUGGGAAGUGAAAGUGUUGGAACUGAGAUAGAAGCACUCUAGUAGUGAGAAGUGGGAGAGUCCAAAUAUGAUUUGAAGAUUCUUAAUUAAAUAUGAAUAUUUAUGUAAAGGCUAGAGACCGAUUCACGAGAGUAAUAGAAUUCUCAUUAUGCGUCCCAUUCUUAUUUUUAGAAAUUGAGGAAACCUCGAACUUAAAUAUAAUCAAAUCGAUUUCUCUUUCUUGUCGAAAAAACCUUCAUAAACUUAACAUAAAUUGAUAUUUGUUCCAAGUCUCGAGCAAAAAGAAUGUUGACAUGCAACUUUGUAAACAUCUCUAUCUCUAUGAACUUCUUAAAUAACCCAUAUUUUCAUCUUUCUUCUUCAAGUAUGAAUUGAUAACUUGAAACUUCUUUCUCUUUAUUUUUUCCACAAUCACUACUUUCUCUCCACUUUGUUUUUUCUUCUCCUAACCUUUCUUACUCUCUUCACUCUUAUUUUUCAACAUCUCCCUCAUUUUAAACUACUCCAUAAACUAUAUUUUUAAUAGAUAGAAUUUUUCUACUACUUCUAAGAUUUUUCUUCGUAAGGACUCUUCUAAAGUGUAAGGUUUUCUUGGAAACAAAGCCAAAAACUUGAUGGAUUUUUGUUAAGGGUACCAAAUAUGUCGUAAAGUAAUAAUAUUUAUAAUGCUUGUAUUUGUAAGAAUUGCUUCAAAUUAUAUUCAAGAAUUAUUAUUUUGCUUAGGAUUAUGUAACAAUAAUAAUAGGAGGGGUAUGUAGAGCAUAUAUUUGGCAAAUACAACUUCUAUUGAUUAUAACUAGUAAUAAUUAAUAAUUUAAAAUUAAUUAAAACACCUAUUAAAGAAUCAAAGCAUCAAUAACAAAAUAUAUUGAAUAACAAUAGAUAGAAAUCGUAUAAAUCAGUAUAAAUUAAAUUACAUAGAUAAAGCAAUUUAAGAUAAAUUCAUUUAAAAGACUUAAUCAAAGUAAUUUUAACUAUUCGUAAUGCAAUUAUUAAUAUCUAAAAGUCUUGCGGAAAAUACAUAAGUUACAAGAAAAAAGUUAGACUCCGAUGGUGAAAUAACAAUAAUCUUUAUCAUUUGAAAUUCUGCAGAGGUUACCUUUAAAUCAAAAUUUGAAACCCUUGAAAAUAUGUGAAAGUUAGUUUUUAUAAGAGUCCAAAAAGACUUGUCACGUGUGUAGAGUUUACAGAAAAACCACCCGAUAGAUGAAAAUGACGUGUCCUGUGCGUAAAAAAUGUAUUGAGUAUCACCCCACGGUUUCACCGACACACCUAGAACGUGGAUGUUUGUGUAAGCCUUAGAUACCAAUACUUUUGGUACUUGUAUCAAAUUAUUUAUUAAUAAUAAAAUACUUUUUUCUUUAUUAUGUUUGUUUAAUAAAGUCCUUAGAAUAGCUAGUCCGUUUAAUGUAUCAAGUGUGACUUAAUCAUGAUAUCCCAUUAAACAUAAGGACACUAUUCUUAAAGUAUCUGUAGUCGAGCUUUGUUGUAAAGUGGGAUAACAUUAAAACAUUAAGACUAUUAUGUAUAUAGACUGAUGAUCACAUCUCAUAGAUCAUGGAUAACGAGUUAUCAAGUCUUAAACAUAUGUAUGAAUAUUAGGAGUAAUAUUUAUACUGGAUUGGCUCGUUAUGAGAAUACUAUAUAGAAUGUUAUGCAAAAUGUCAUAAGUUAUUCUCAUGGUGAUAACGGUGUAUACCACCCUUCGACCUGAAACUAUUGUGGACCCUAGAUGUAGAGUCGAGUGCUUUAUUGCUGACCAAACAUUGUCCGUAACUGGAUGACCAUAAAGACAAUUGAUGAGUACUCCACGAAGCAUGCCGAGGGACAUGAGUGACCUAGAUGGAAUUUGCCCAUCCUGCAUAACGGGAUAAAUGUCUAAGGGCCCAAUAUUGAACUGGACAAGGAUGACACGGUCAAUGUCUUGUGUUCAAUAUAGAGAUAAAGGCAAAAAAAUAAUUGUACACACAAGUAUUAUCACAAAAGGAUUUGUCAGAUCACAUGACAUUUUCGUGUCUUGGGUAGCAGUGAUAUGUUGCUAGAUACCGCUCAUUGUUUAUUAUGUUAAAUAUGUGAUUUAAUAUAAUUGUCAAUGUCGCGAAAACCUAUAGGGUCACACACAAAAGGACAGAUUGAUGAGAGCUAGAGUAAAUAAGGAACACCGUAAGGUACGACACACUUAAGUGAAUUGAAGAACAUCGUAAGGUACGGUGCACUUAAGUAGAAUACGAAAUAUGGUAAAGUACCACGCGCCUAAGUGAUUUUUGGUAUAUCAUAAGAUAUGAGUCACAUACAUUUAAGUGAGUUUUUUAGCUUACAGCCCACACAAGUGGUUCUAUAAAUAGAACCCUUGUAGACAAGCAUUUGAUUAGAUGAAAUUUUGUUUCUCUCUCUCUCUCUCUCUCUCUCUCUCUCUCACUCAAAGCCUUCAUUCAUAGCGGAUAUCACUGAAAUUGAAGGAAUCCGUUCGUGUGGACUGAGUAGAGGCGUUGUCACCAUUCAACGUUUGUGAUCACUCCUUAGAUCUGCAUCAAAGGUUUCAAUCGCCACAAAAAGUAACGAUUUCUAUCACUAAUCAUGUCCAUUCGUAAGGAUCACUAAAGGAGAAAAUUUAAAUUUCGCUGCGUUUUGGAUCGCCAAUCUCCUUCAGUGGAGUCCAUGGAUACACCCGCCUUGUGGCUUACAAAUGCAAAUCAUGCGUGGACUCGAAGAGCGCACCCUCCACGCAAGUUGAACAUGGUUAGUUUUGCUUUAAUUUCAGAAACUAACCAAUCUCAUAGAUUUAACCGUUUUGAAAUGCCUUAUCUGUCUUUUUUCUCUUCUCUUUUUUUCUCUAAUUUCUUCGUGCAAUGUAGGAUUUGCAAUAAAACCAAUAUUUUCUAAAUUUAAUUAAAAAUAACUAAAACUAGACUUAAUUGACUUAAAGUUAAUGCUAAAAUAUAUUCUAACUAGGUAUCAUCAUGUACCAAUCAUCGUCAAGUAAUAUAAUUUGUAAGAUUCAUAUUUGUGGGAAUUGUUGCAAUCUCUACUAGAAAAUUAUUAAUUACUGGAACUUAUGUAACUAUAACUAAAGGGUAUGGAAAACAUAUAUUUGGUAAACGAAAAUCUGAAAAUAAUUUUUUAAAAAUUAGUGAUUAAAAAUGAUUAGACCUUUUUGAAUCCUUUAUCUAUCACUGCUUGAUAACAUGUUUAAUUCCUGCAAUUGCAUUCCUAAUAUUACAUGAACUAAAAACCACCUAUGACCAAUGUCUUAUCACGUAACCCUCUUCUUAAAUCACAACCCCAUAUCUUAGGUGAAUUCGUAAUUGAAAAAUAUUUUCCCUCACUUAAUUCUUCUUAUUAGAAUCAAAUAAUACCAUGUGUCUAAAUAUAUGAUAUGCUGAACAAUAAAACUAGUUUGAGUGUGAAAAUUUUAAUUAGUAAUCAUUCACAACUCAAAAUCAAUUCUGAUAUUCGUCAAUAUAGGAAAGGUUUAAGAAUAAACUUUAUUGAAUAAUAUUAGGUAGCAAUUACAUAAAUCAAUACAAAGCAAAUUACAUAGUUUAAGUUAUUGAUAAAUUCAUCUAAAAUACCUAGACUUAACUACUCAUAAUGUAAUUAUUCAUAGCUAAAUAAAGUGUAAGGAACAAUACAUGAAUUAAAAGAUGAUAUUUGAGCUCUAAUGGUGUAGAAGCAUCAAUUAUUUUCUCUUAAAACUCUGCAACCGCAUCUUUAUGUAAAAGUUCUGAACCCUUUGUCAUUUGCACAAGUGUUCAUUUUAUAAUAAGGGUUUUAGUGCGUGUGAUCAGGCCAUAAUCGAUAUUUAUUGCAUCACGAUUCUUCAUUAAUACCACGCGGCAACAUGUUUUUUGGGCAUUGUAUCGUGUUGCAAACUUAGUUCAACCGCGUUGCGAUCUCAACAAACUUUCCUUCUUCUUGUGUAAGAUUAACAUCAGACCAUUAUCCUUCCUGAUCGUAGUGAGAUUUUGGAAGAAAAUUUUAUCUUUUCUUCAUGCUCUGGUUUGCUAUCCUCACUCCUCUUCUUGUUACCGUAACCUCUUCAUGUAGAAAUACUAUUGUCACUACUAGAAAAUAUACUUUUGAUGACACAAUAUUAUAACGACUGGUUUACCAUCGUAGUCAUAUAACAUUUUUUACGCAUAUUUUUUUAAUAAUUUUAUUAAGAAACUUUUCAUCACGAUCCCUAAAAAUAACCGUGGUCAUAGAAUUUGGAUAACAAACUUUGAAUCCUAGCAUCAACGUUUUUCUAAUUUUUUCAAUAAAAAUAAGCACAUGUCUGUUCACAUUUAUUGUUAAUUAAAAAUUGAAAGUAUAACAACUAUGAUUCUUUCAUUCAACUGUGAUUAUAUGUUUCAUAUUUCACUAUGGUUGAAGCUUGCAACCGUUGUGAAAUUAUUUCCCACAAAAUUAAAACAUAACAUGUACUUCAUUUUGCUUAUAACACACAAGGGUGCCCUAGCGAACGAGACAAAAACGAUAGUGAAUCUUCACCAUCUUCAUUCAUUUAUGGAAACGAAAUCGUCAUCCUCUUCAAAUUAUGGUAGAUUACCAUUCUCUUUCUCUCUCUCUCUCUCUCUCUCUCUCUCUCUAACGCUUUUGAAUGUUUAUGUUCUUUACUAGGGUUAUUUACCAUUCCCUCUCUCUGACGCUUCUGAAUGUUUAUGUUCUUUGCUAGGGUUACUGGUUUCUUUUUUUAACAGAUAAAUGAUGUUGGAUUUUGUUGCAUUUCAUGAAUCAACGCUUUCAGCAUUGACAUACAUUGUCAUGUGUAUUGUUCAUGUUGUCAUGUUCAUGUUUUAUUCAAAUUUUAUGAAUAUGCUUUAGGUUUUGGUUUUGGUUUUGGAUAUGCAUAUGCAUAUAAUCAUAUUAGGAUGUUGUGUGUAUAACAUUAGUGUGCCAUUCACAUUAAUCUUUUGAUAUAAACUUCAGAAUUUUUUAUGAUUGUAGUUAGAUAAAAGUUGAUAGAUUAGGUCUAGUGUAUGAGAAAUGAAUUCUUGAAUUCACCGAAAAAAUAUUUCCGAAAAUAAUGGUAUCUUUUAUUGUCCUUGCGUUGUUUGCAGGAAUAUCAAAAAACAGUCAAAGAAAUAAAUAUUACAUCACCUAUGUUGUGAUGGAAUAUGUCAAAAUUAUACAACAUGGACGUGGCAUAGAGAAGUUGAUAAUAAUCGAAAUGCAACGUCACAAAUGGAUGAAGAUAUGGAUGAUUGACUAUAAGAUAUGAUAUGUUAUAUUGGAGAAUCGUCUUAUAUGAAAGCCCAUAUUACUGAUACUUUAUGUAGCGACAAAGAUAAACCUCUAUAUAAGGGGUGCACCAGUUUUACACGAUUGUCUGUGUUAUUAAAAUUGUUUAAUCUGAAUGCAAAAUGUGGAUGGUCGGAUAAAAGUUUCACAAAUUUUUUUGAUUUGUUAAAACAAAUGCUACCAAAAGAUAACAAUUUGUCAGAUCGUUGUUAUGGGGUCAAGAAGAUAUUGUAUCCAAUGGGUUUGAAGUAUGUCAAAAUAUAUGCAUGCCCUAAUGAUUGCAUAUUAUAUAGGAAAGUGUGUGAAAAGUUGGAUUAAUAUCCAGAAUAUGGUGAAUAGCGCUACAAGUUGAAGAACAACAAUGGUGAUGAUAAUGACAAUGUUAGUAAGAAGCGUCCUCCUACUAAAGUAUUAUACUAAUUUACAAUAAUUUCAAGGUUAAAGAGACUUUUUGCUAAUGGGAAUGACGCAAAGAAUAUUAGAUGACAUGCAGAUGAAAGAAAAUAUGAUGGAAACAUUCCACAUGUAGCUGAUUCUUUACAGUGAAAGAAAAUUGAUUCAUUAUUUCAGAUUUGGGCCUUGAGACAAGAAACCUUAGGCUUGGGCUUGCCAUAGAUGGAAUGAACCCCUUUGGUAAUCUGAGUACUAACCAUUCUUCGUGGCCUGUUCUUCAUAUGAUUUACAACAUAUCUCCUUGGUUGAGCAUGAAGCGCAUGUAUAUGAUGUUAAAUAUGAUGAUUUUUGGACCAAGAUAACCUGGAAAUGACAUAGAUGUUUAUCUAAGUCCAUUAAUUGAGGAUUUAAAACUUUUGUGGGAUAAAGGUGUUGACAUUGGUGAUGCAUAUUGUAACACCUCAAAAUUUGCCCUCCUCUCUUGGGACUAGUUUAACAUAUUGCAUUUUUUUAGGUCAUUAGUCAUUGCAUGUUUGCAUAUCAUGGCUACAUUGAGAAAGUCAUCCUCCUAGGUCUUGAUCAGAAGAUAAAGGGGUUAAGAUGCAAGCUAGGGUUUCAUUGGAUUGAUCAUUAACCAUCUGAGGAUUGUGCUACAAAUUAGGGUUUCUUGAUUCCUCAAGGAGGUUGAUCAUCAUCUUGGUUGAAAUGGUACAUCAUCAUCAUCAUGGUUUUGUCAUCACCAGGAGAUUCAUUGUUCAUGAUCAUAUUCCUUGAGAUUAGGGUUUUGACCUCUGGUCAACCCUAAUCAUCUGCAUUGUGCCAAUCAGGGCUUGGUAAGGAGAUGAGGUCUUCAAUGGAUAUGGGGAUCAUCAUAUGGUUAUAUUGAGCUUAUGGAAGCUAGGGUUUCAUCAUUGAGCUAUUUCAUCAGGAGUUUGGAGCUCAAGUUGAUCAGUGCAUGGCCAAUUCAUCUAUCAGUCAACAGAAGUCAACCAAAGGUCAACUGAUGGAUUUGGAGGUGGGAGAGGGUUAGAGACACUUUAUUCAUGUCUAAACAAGUUUCAUUUGACAUUUCAAACAUCAAGAAUGAAAGAAAAUAAUAGUCAGAUGGGAAACUUUCCAAAAAUAGAAAGUGACUUGUAAUUCAAAUUGCCAAAAAUGGAAAGGUUUUCUCUUAAAAUUACAUGUUCAAAAAUGCUUCAAAUGAAAUUUUGUCCAACAUGAAAGUUGUAGAUCUUGCUCUCACCUUUCCAAAAAGUCCAAGAAGAUGGAUUUCGCAUUUGUGGUUGGCAAGUUAUGGAUUGAUCAUUGUCCAAAAAAGUUGAAUUUUUCAAAGUUGCAUAACUUUUGAUUCACAAGGCCAAAUGGAGUGAGACUUUUUUGAGCAAAAUUCUUUUGAUCCCCUCUAUCCAAAACAAGCAUUACCUGUCAUGAAAACUCAUCACAUAAAAAUUCCAUUUUUCAAGUGAACCAUAUUUGAAUUUUGGAGGGAAAAAGGUGUUUUUGAGAAAUAAGCCUUGUUUUCACAUGAUUCCACUUGCAUCAGCUUACAAACAUGUUUUAAAACUUGCUCAAACCAGAAAUUGGCACUGUUACAUUGCAUUGCACAUGUGUGGGUGAAUUGACCAAAUUGCCAUUUAGCAUGAAAACUUGAUUUUCACUAAUCCUUUGUAAUUAGCACUAAUUAGGAUUACUAACAUGUUUAACAAUGCAUAUAUAAACUAAAUUGUAACUGUUUUCUGAUUAGCAAUAACAGAAUCCAGAUCUAGAUCUGAAAAUCACAAAAUUCUUCAUCUUCUUCUCUCAUUUUUUUUUGCAAUUUUCUUCAAAAGCCUUGCCAAGAUCUUCAUCAAUUCAUCAUUUACAUGCAUAAUUGAAGUUGUUGGAAGCAAAAUCUUGGAGAAUUCAAGCUCAAUUUGGAACUGUUACAAGAGUGUUCAUCCAUGGCAAGUUGAGAUUUCAUCAAGAUCGUGCAUAAUCAAUACACAAACCUUGUUCCAUUCAUCAAUGCUAGCACCAUAGAAGUUCUGUUUUGGCAUUACAAGGCUUACAACACACGAAUUCACAACUGUCAUCAAAUUAAGGUUAGUUUUCGAGUUGGACAAUUCAUGAAAUCAAUUGAUGCAUGUUGUAGAUCUUGUUUAGUAGAGUAUUCUGCAAGUUGAAUCACUAAUUUUCGUUGAGAAAUGAGAGAGUUAUAUGAAUUGGAAGUUUCAUGCAUGUUUAUGUUUUGAUUCGAUUCGCUUAAAUUAGGAGGAAUUAGGUUUAAUUGAUGACAUAUUCAUGAUGUGCUUGGAAAGACCUUUCUAGUGAUAUAGAUUUUGUUGAUUUUGGUGGAAGUUUGUUCAUGCUGGAAAUUUGAUGAUGAACACGAUGAAUGUGUUCAAGAACAUUUGAAAACUUUUCCAGAACUGGCUUUGAUCCUCAUUUCCGUGUUUGGCCUGGUUGAUUGGUGUUUGUUGUACAGUAGCGCGCGCUACUUUUUUUGAACAGGAACAUACUUCGAUUCCGCUUGGGGACAAUUCCACUUGUUGCUUUAGCAUUUUUUUUCUCAUAUACUUCUCAUGUACAUACCAUUCCAUAUGCAUCUUUUUUAUUUUCUUCAACAUUCAAAAUUUCAUAUCUCCUAAACUAUUAAUCCAAAUUGACUGAAGUUUUUUUCACCAUGAUCGUUGUAAUCUCUAGUAUUUUUUGGUGAUUUUUGUGGAAAUUGUGCAUGUGUGGUUUUUGGAAUGGCUUAGGGUUUGUUUAGAUGUGUUCUUUCUUGCACAUUGCUUGGUAUUUUGAUCAUGAAAUGAUGAUGCUUAACUGGAUGGAGCUGAAUUUUUGCAUGCAUAAACUAGAGAUUUAAAUGAACAUUUUGGCUUUGAGUUUGCUAUUUUAUCAUCCCUGGAUUGUGAGAUAUGCUAUGAUCUUUAGAGGUGUGACAAUUUGUGUCACACCAUUUCAUGUCCAACUUCCUGAUUUUUGUUGCCAUGCCUAUUGAAUUUGAAUUGAGCUGAGUUUUUGCAUGAUGAUGCUUGGGGAUGUUAGGAUGUCUUGUGAAUUUUCCUGGAAUUUUGAAUGCAUUUCCUAUUGUUUGAGAAUUUCUCCCCUGUUUGUCCAAUUGUGAACCUUUUGUGAGUCAUGAUCUCAUAUGUUUUGUGAAAUUCUGGUGGUUUAUUUGAUGGGCUUGAAAUUUGGCAUGUGUAUUAUAGACAUCUUGAAGUGUGUCAUGGCUUUGAUUUGGUUUCAUUUACAUGUGUAGUUUCUGUUUUAUGAUUGCUUGAAGUUGAUGCAUGAUUUAAUGCCUUGUAUGAGCUUGUUUGAGUAUGCUUUGGAUUGAUGAAUUUAAUUGACUUGCUUCCCUUUGUCCAAAUGGCCUGAAAUUUGGUGUGAUGAUCCUUUAAUGAGUUGCUGUUUAGCCAUGAAUUUUUUGGGAAUUUAUUGAAAAUGUUUGUGAGUUGAUUUGAAUUGGAUCUUUCUGUUUGGUCCUAUGAGGUUCUAAAUUGCAUGCUUUGUACUCUUUGCCUCAUGAAAUGAUAAUGGUUGAUGAUAUGAACAUGAGACCAAUUGUAUUUGUUUCUAAAUUGAUUGAACUUGAUUUUUGCCAAUUUUCAUGUUCUGUUUUGAAAUAUUUCUCUCCUUUUGACCCUAGGCUUUGUCCUAGGGUUUGCUUCUCAUGUUUGAGUUGUAUUUUCAGGACAAAAGGCAUAUGGCAUUGGAGGAAUUAAUUCACUUGGCUUGAGUUUCUUGUUUUGAUUGAUGUUGAUUAACAUUAAGUUUGUUUUGUAGGUGGCUUCUUAGUCAUUUGUGUUGAGCAUUGGCUUAUGCUUUGCUUGAUGCAUUGCUUAUGUACAAUUAACUGUUGACUUUUAGCUUGUCUGUUUGACUGUUUGUGCUGAGUACUGAUUAUGUUAGAUUGAUUUCAGGUACAUUAGUUGCUAUAGUUCAUUGUGAACUUGCUUGUGUUGCUGCUUGGUUGUGUAAACCAAUUGAGGUAGAAUUUCUUUUCUCCAUGUAAUCUGGAAGACCUGGCCUGUUACUUGGCCAGGCACCUGUCUGAAGUCCUCCUUAAGAGGCAAUGCCUGUGCUUGUUUAUCUUUGUCCCCAAGCAGGAAAAAACCUUGAUUAAGGCAAUUGGCAGACACAAGAGAUGUGCAAUCCAUCUCCUGCUAAUCUGUUGAGUCAUCCCUUGGCUCACAUCACAUGUUGAUGCCUUGUGGAUCCUAACCCAAGAUCCUUGUACAGUUGUACAUGAGUCAGUGUCAGUAAGUGUAGAAGGGUUCCACUUUCUGAACCCACAGUCUGAAGCUCUCCCUGGCCAGGGAUAAGAGCUGUGAGGCACACCCCUCACUUCCUAUUUCAUCUGGCUUCACCCUAACUCUCAAUGUUAGGGUUAAGAGCUAACAUCACCUGAUACAGUCGGUUUGCUUUUGCAGUCUAACCCUUUGUUUGAGCCCACUUUGUCUGGAUAUAGUGUGUGCUAAUUGUGUAUGUUUGCUUUGUUUUGAUUAUGAUUGCAUGCUUUGCUUUACCUGUUUAGGAUUAGCUUGCUGCCUGUGCAAGUUAGGAUAGAAACCAUAACUUAGGGAUGACAUGCAUGAUAACAUCUAGGCUCGAGUCCAGCUCCCUAGUAGUGUGUCUCCCUUUGUAUCUGGUUAGAAUUUCUUUCCCUGUUCAAGGGAACUACGUUGCCCUGAUCCUCAUACCAGAUGAGGUACGUAGGCAGGAGGUCAUACGAGAUCUCUCAGGGCACCCUUUUCUUUUUUUGAGUGUGUUGUGCUUGACAUCUAUCAGGCUCGAGUUCCCGACUCCCUGUUAGUCUGUGUGUUCACCCUUCUUGGUGUUUGCUUGACAGUUGCUAGGCUCGAGUGCCAGACUCCUUAGUAACUUGUCGCUUGUUUCUUUUUGUUGUUUGCUUGGAGUCCGGUAUAAGUCCAUCAAGUGGCAUCUGGUUUCCAGUGUGGGUUUGUUUGGUUCGGAAGCUGAUGUAAGUCCAGCGAUUGGCGUUCGGGUUCCAUGUUUGCCUGUUUGUGUGUUUGUCUUAACGUCUCAGCGUCUGUGCGUGUGUUUUUUUUCGGCGUGCGUGAGCCGAACUACGGUAGCUCUGAUUCUCGUUCCAGACGAGAUACGUAGGCAUAGGAUGCGAUAUCCUAGCGAGCCCUCUCCCCUCUUCCCACCUGUGUUGUCUUCAGUGUGUGUGUGAUGUUUGUUUUAGCAACCUUUUCCUAUCUUUUGAGCGUGGAUCCCGUCGAGUACGACGGAUGCGUAGGGGUGCUAAUACCUUCCCUUCGCAUAACCGACUCCCGAUCCCAUUCUCUUUGGUCGCGAGACCAUGCUUUUCCCAGGUUUACUUCGAGCGUUUCCUUUCCCUCUUUUGGGAUAAAUAACGCACGGUGGCGGCUCUGUCUGUUUUUGUUUUAGCCCGCCGGUUGUUUUUCGCGGAUGCGACACAUAUUCUGGUGAAAAGUUUAAGAUGCGUGCAAUGUUAUUUUAUACAAUCAACGACUUUCCUGCAUAUGGUAAUUUGACUGGAUAUAGUGUUAAAGGAUAUAAAGCGUGUACUAUAUGUGAAUCUAAUAUCUGUUUUCACCAGGAUGAGUUUGGAAAAAAGAAAGUUUACCUUGGUCAUCGAAAUUUUUCUAAAAUCCAAUCAUCCUUAUCGUAGAUUGCAGAAGGCUUUAAUAGAGAGUAAGAGCUUGAAAUUGCUCUUAAACCUUUAACUGACGAUGAAGUUUAUCAACGACAAGAACACCUUACUGUUGUCUUUGGAAAUAAUAAAGACGGUCCCAUUCAUAGAAAUAUUUAGAAAAAGAGAUCGGUGUUCUUUGAUCUUCCAUAUUGGUUUAGACUCGAUGUAAGACAUUACGGUUCACUUACUUGCUCAUCUAGUCAGAGAAAUCAUAUUUUGUGGUCCAGUUUAUUUAAGGUGGAUGUAUCCUAUAUAGCGAUACAUGAAGAUAUUUAAAGGAUAUACGAAGAAUCAUCACCGACCGAAAGCUUCGAUCGUUGAAAGGUACAUCACAGAAGAAGCUGUUGACUUUUGUCCAUACUAUUUGUCGAAAACAGAGUCUAUUAGAAUUCCAAAGUCUUGUCAUGCUGAAAAAUUUGAAGGUAUAAGUACUCAAGGUUUAAAUCUUAAGUUAAUGGAUAGGAAUGUAGUACUUGAAAUACAUUUCUAUAUAUUGAGCAAUCUUAGUGUAAUUGAACCUUACAUAGCUACUCACAAAACAACUAUAAAGAAAAAAUAUCCCAAAUGAAUGACAAGUGGUUGUUGACAUGACAUAACAAGUAACUCAUAAGUUGGUUUAAUAAGAGGAUUUAUAAUGAUGAUGGUGCAUCCGAGACAAUUAAAUGGUUGUCGUACAUGCUGAAAUUUACUGUGAUAACUUGUACAGUAUACGACAUUUCUAAUUAUUCUUUUUAUACAAAAGCAUAAGAUGAUCGUAAUAUAAUGCAAAAUAGUGGGGUUAUGGUUUAGGCUAAAUCCAUCUAUUUCUCUAGUUCAAAAGAUAAGAAUCUUAUUUUGCCAACCACUGCGUUCUAUGGUGUCAUUGAUGAGAUUUUGAAGAUUGACUAUGUUAUUUCAAAGUGCCUUUAUUUAAAUACAAGUGGAUUUCCAAUAACAAUGGUGUAAAAACUGAUGAGUUAGGAUUCACACGGGUUGACCUUGGCAAGACAACUUAUAACAUCAAACCAUUCAUCAUGGCUACUCAAGCAAAACAUGUUUUUUAUGUGACAGACCCUGCUGACUUGUCGAGGAGAUGAUCAAUUGUUCUCAAAGGAAAAACACAUUCCUCAUAAUGAUGAUGAAAGUUUUGAUAUUCUUUCCACUUCUUCUGCAACACAAGUGCCAACUUCAUAUGAAGAAGUUGAUAAAGAUGAUGUACAUGUUAUUCAUAACGAUCGUCAAGAAGGCAUAUGAAAAAAUUAACAAGUAUUUUAUAUUCUUCAUUCAUAAUUUAUUGUAUGUUAUAAUUUAUAAUAAUGUUAUUUUCAAAUAACUAUUAUUAUUUAAAAGUAUAAGUGUUUAAAGUCAAGACACCAUAAGACAAGACACCGAGACAACAAGAUAAUAUUAUUUGAUGUAAUGAUGUGUACAUUGCAUGUUGUUUUGUGGCAUUUUAGUUUUGAUGUAAUAUACAUUUUUUUGUUCCUAAUGGAACCGUGUCAUUGAAAAAUAUAUAUAUAAAAAUCAAAUAAUAUCACAACAGUUUUUAAUUUAAUUCAACCCAUGUUAUAAGUAGAGCGUUAUCCAAAAUAAUAAAACGCAAGAAUGAUGCUGCUGGAAUUAAAAUCCAGGACCUAUAAAUUAUUUCACAACGGUUGUUUUCUUUACCCAUUGUUAUAAGUAGUACGCUAUCUAACUUAUAAUCACAGACACUCGUUCGUUGUGGAAACUAAUAUACAUACAAUUACACGCUACCUAACAACGGAUAUGAAAUCAUCAAUAUAUGUAUUUCACAAUCAUUAUUAUAUGUAUUUUUCGUAGUAGUGUGUGCUUUCUAAUUAAAGUGAUUUUAGAUGAAUGCGACUUUCCAAAACUGUCUUGAAUCCUGUUAUAACUUCAUGCAAUGUUAAUUACAAAUCUAGUUAAAAUAUUGUAAAAAAUGCUAAGAAAUAGUCCAAUGAUUGAGUUUCAUCAAUUACCAAUAGACUAGAAAAAUAACAAUAACACUCAUAUUUGAGUAAAUGUGUACUAAGAUUUGAUGAAAAAUGAGAUAAUGCAAUAAGUUUUAAAUUUUGAGUUUUUUUAAACUUUCGAAAGUAAAAUACAGGGAGAAAGAAAAAAAGUUUUCUAACUUAUAUAGGAAGAAUAUAAUUUCACUUCUUUUAGUCAUUCCAGAAGAAGUGAAAAUUAUCUUGCCCAUGACCUUAUUAAGUAUGUUGUAUUUCUCAUAGUGAAGGGCUCGAUUUUAAAUUGUCGUAAGCAACCAUAAUAUUACUGAAGCGGUAGCGAUAGUUUAUGCAAUGCCAUCAAACCACAAGAUUUUAAAUUACAUAUAUGGCCUCAUCAGAAAGUGUACACGAUAAUUCCGACAAUGUUUGUUCAAUUCUUUUCAUCAUAAAUUAAUGUUUUGAAGCCUCAAAUCCCAAACUUAAUAUGAAGCAAUGCAAAUCUUAAUUUUAAUUGUUCCUAACUUAUAUAUUUCAAACGUCUCCCAAUCAUUAUUCACGCUCGAACAGCCAUAUUUGUCAUCAUAACAAUCACAAUUACAAUAUUAGGAAUCAAAGACAUAUAACAUUUUUUAGAAUCUCUGUAUAUAUAUAGUCGCAUUUUAACCAUAAUAAAAUAAAUAAAGAUCUUAUUUAAUUAAGAUUAAAGCGUAAUAAAUAUUUUAUAAGAUUUUAUUUAUUUAUGUUAAAUUUUAAAUCAUAUACAAUAACUUGUCUUAUACGCUCGCAAAGACAAUCCAGUUAAUAAACGCAACAAUGUUUAUGAGCGUAACUGCAAUUUAAAACAACCCUGAAUGGGUGUGGCUAAAAGACCUCCCUAUAGUCUUUACCAUUAAUACAAGAUGGACUUAGAGCUUUGUUGGUUCUGAGUCUAUUUUUCUCAAUAUAUAUGGUAUUAUUGAAAUAAACAAAAACCACAUAAACGUAGUUAGUUUUCCUUAAAAAGUGAUUUAACACCUAGUUUCGGAAGGGCAUUGAGUGCUCUACUGUUAUCUACGGUAACAUCAUAAAAGUUGUCUAAAUAUGUCUUCCGCAAAUUGUUGCUGCUGAAUGUGUCUCUUUCCUCUUUGAAUCAGUAACAAAUAGAAAGUGAAGCCUUGUUCCACUUCCACCAAUAAAAGAAAUAGCAAGAAGAAACACGUGUAUCAACCAUCUUGAGAAAGAACCAAUUAACAAUGUUGGAUAAAAAUUAAGAGUGGUAACAAACAAACAUGAGUGAGUGAAGAAAAAACAAUGGCAUCACGGAUCUGAGAUCGGACAUGAAUGCGCUCAACUGUAGUUAAAGUUUCAUUCUGCUUUUAAUGUAAAAAGUUUAUUAUAUGCAACUUUUCUAGUAAUUUCUGACGCCUCAAGAUUCGAUUAUAUUUUCAAUCUAUUAUUAUAUGAAUUUUUUAUUUAUUAUUAUAUUUUAUGUUUUGGGACAGAUUAGAUUUUCUUUGUAUAACUGUCAUCUUAGGGUGUGGUUAGAGUUACUGCAAUUAUUUCAGAAAAUAAAUUUUAAAUUAGGGUACAUUACUAUAUAAGAUUAGAUAGAAUCAUCAGCACUUAAAGAGCGAAUGAGAGGAUAAAUACCACUUUCAAUUGGUUUCCUAUAAGAUUAAGUUAAAAUGCACUUGUUGUGUCAAAAAAGAAGUUAAAAUGCACUAGUAAAAAUGUAGAAUUUUAAAUUACUAGAGGUAUAUUACUCCAUAAGAUUAGAAGAGAUAUAUUACCCUUGACAUAAUAAAGAUGAAAUUUAUCUUGAGAUAUUCAUUGAACUAUGUUCAUUAUUAAUGAACCAAUGGAGCUCGCAUGGAGAACAUAUAUAAGAGCCAUGAAAGUGGAAAGUUUACAAGUUUGUCACAUUAUAGAAGUUGGUUAUAUGGUCAUGACGAGGUCAUGUAUUGCAAUGCUUCAUCCGUUCACCUAUAAAGACGGGGUUCGGUCCUGACAUAUGUACCAUGUCUACUUAGUUUGCAGUUACUAAACAUGGGAGUGUUGACACCAUUAGCAUUUUCCAUAUUUACGAUAGCAAGUAAAUCUUAGAUGUACUUGGUUUGAGUGAGUAUAAUAACACCUUCAGCUUGUUCACGCACUUCUAAACCAAAAAAAUACUUUGGUUUGUCAAGCUUCUUUAGAGAAAAUCGUUGAUGGAGUUUAGAUACAAUUCAUAGGAACAAGUUUGGAAGAAGUUCAUGUGACCAAAAUGUCAUCAACAUAAGCUAAGGCAUACAAAGUGAUGCUUUGAUGUUGAUAGAUGAAAAGUAAAUGAUCACAUCUGUUAGAAACAAAUCCAAACUGCACUAGAGCCUGAUGAAAUUUGUCAUACCAUGUCCAAGGGGCCUGCUUUAGACCAUAAAUUACUUUCUUUAAAUUAUAUACAAGAGAAGUAUCAUUUUCUGCAAAGCCAGGUGGUUGUUGCAUGUAGACUUCCUCUUAAAGAUCUUCAUUUAGAAACACAUUGUUGAUAUCGGUUUGUUGGAUAACCCACAUAUAUAUGUCACAUCCAUAAUAAGAGUAACCCUGAUAGUAUUAGGUUUCACUAGGGGAGAGAAUGUCUCAUGAAAAUAAAGUUCAUCUUGUUGAUGAAAUCCUUUGGCUACUAGUAGAGCUUUAUGUUUAUUAAUAGUGCCAUGUGGAUUCUCUUUGAGUUUAAAUACCCAUUUACAACCAAUAGUUUGCCUUUGAGGUGGUAGAGUGGUCAAAGUCCAAGUUUCAAAUUCUAAAAGUGAUUGAAACUUUGUUUGCAUAGCUUUGAACCAGUCGGGUGUGAUAAAGAUUGUUUGGUUAUGAUGAGCUCUGAAUGCACCAUCAAAGCCUUAGGCUUUGACUUGCCUGCUUUAUCCCUUGUCAGCAUGUUAGGGUUGUUAUCUAAUAAUGUAGGAGGUGAAUGAGGAGUGUAAAAAUAAGGAGAAAGAGAAUUAAUGGUGUCAGGCACACAUUGCACAUGUGGAAUUGUUUUUACUAGUGUUGACUUGGAACACAAGGUACCUCCUCCCUGAAUAGGUGAUGCAGAGUUGUAAUAAAUAGGGUUAAGUUCAUAAUUAACAUUUUGAGUUUGAGAAUUUACAGUGGACUCAUCAUGUAUGUUUUUAUUUGAACAAUGGAAUUACUAGAUUCUACUUAACCUGUUUGGUUAGGAGUAAUGGGCAAAUAGAAGUCAUGUUGUGAGUUAUCAUUUAUGUUAGGGGUCUCAGGUACCACUUCAUUAGAACAUACUGGAUGUGACUGAUUGGUACUAGGUUCCCGGGAGUUAGAGUUUAUGUGAAGAGGUGCAUAGUGAUUAGGUUGAUUUUAGCUAGGAGUUAAGGAAUACUGACUUUGCAAUUUUAGAUAAGGGAAUUCAGCCUCAUUGAAUAUUACAUCCUUGGACACAUAGAUUCUUCCAUUUUUGUGUUGGGUGAGAAUAUGGAUACAAAGGGGUCUAAAAGGAGGAGGGGGAGGGUUGAGUAAACCAUUUUUCCUUAAGAUAAUUUCAAAAAUAUUUUAGGUCCCAUAAAUGAAACCAGAGAUUUUAAGAAGCACGAAAGCAAAACACAAAAACGAGAAAGCUUGAAAGCAUCUCAAUGAAUUAAACCAAGUGAGAUAAUACAAGAUGUUACUAAGAGCUUGAUUACUUCUAAUGCAAGUCAAUCACAAGACAACUAAAGUUGCUUUGAACAAAGCAAUUUAAAAAGUUUUCACAUAGACGUUUUAUCAAACCAUAAUUGGAUUCAUGAUGAUUCUAUAAGAUUGAUACACCACAUACCUAAGCUUAUAAAUAAAAUCACUAUAAGCAAAGUCUAUCUUAUGUGGUAGACAAGCAAUGCAAUAAAGAAAUUUAUGAAAUAGAAAUAUUAAUGGAUGCUUGUAAAAUAAAGGAGUUAUAGGAAUUAGAAAAGAUGCACAAAGAUAUAUAGUGGUUUGGUGUUCGUCCUCUGUUUUCCUACCCCACUCUUCAAUAUUGUUAAUUAACCACUAGAAAAUAAUCACGAUCUUCAACUAUUUGAUAAGUUUGAUACAAGCAUUUUGGUUACAACAAACUAUCACACGAUAAUUCCUUAUGUUAAUGCAGACACUCAAAUUGCUAACAAAAAUAAUAUCCCUCAAGAUCUUGAUCUAAUAACCUCGUUAUCCACAAUAGUCAGCUCCAAGUAUUCGUGUGUGGCAAUCCCCCUGAUUCCACCGAUUUCUUAUCUGAGCGAUUGUCAUUAAUUGAGCGUAUAUUGGACAACUCCCAACUUUGUCUGUGAGCAAUCUUUCUCCAACGCAACCAAAGAAGGACAACUUCCAACUUCAGCUUACGAACCGUUGAUACUUGAUCUCACAAAAGUCUUCUUUUGAGUAUAUUGAAAAACUCCAUUCUUGAUCAAUAACAAAGAAAACCAAAUUGCAUUUAGGAAAUGAUACAUGCACGUAUUACAAACAACAAACUUCACAAAAAAAUAUUAAAUACCCUAAUGUACCACUAGUCUCCUUCAAUUGCUCAAUCUUUAGAGAUGAAGGUCCUCAACAAUGGAAUAGACUAAGGAUGAAGAUGAUAAACAAUGCCAGAAUAUCUCACAACCUAAUAUAAAAGCAUAAGGUAUUAGUAAAGGGAUUAGAUCAAUAAGAAUGAAGAACACACAUACACACACACACGCAUACACACACACACACACAUACACACACACACACACACACACACAAGGUUCUCUCAAAUUUUUGGGUAAACGGGUCCUGGUUCUUAAUUGUUAUCAUGAGCUUGAUCAAUCAUGAUGAACACAUAAGAUUAAUCAUCUCACUCUCUCUAAUUUACAAGCAACAACAACAAAUUUCACAAGAACAAGAUGCAACAAAAAAAGGUGAAUCUAACAUUCAUUACACUCAAGAAGUUGUUCUAGAGAAGAAGAGAAAGAUUCAUGGUGAUGGGUAUAUACACACUAAGAAGGGAAGAAAAAAUUACAUCUAUGUCUCUAUGGGUUUCACCGAUAUGUUUCACUCUCUUGUUACUUUCACCAAAGAAACAACUAUUUAAAUCAAAGAUUGGAAAAUGGGUCUUGUGAAGCUUUGUUUCGAAUAAAGAAGAAAUUAUAAUUUAAAUCAAUUUGAGCAACACCCAAAUAUGACUUCAAAAAGAAAGUUGAUUCGAAUCAAUUUUUACACUUGAUUCGGAUCACAUGAGGUUGUGAUUCAAAUCAUGUUUAUUUUGUGAUUCGGGAUCAAAUGGUGUAGAGACAAUCCCCAAUUUUCUCACAGCCUAUGAUACGAAUCAUGUUUUACACUUCAUUUGAACCAAGCAACUGAAAAUCCAAAUUUAAGAAUUCUAACUUGUGAUUCAAGAAAUGCCUGUUGAAAUGAUAAAGUAACAACUUUCUAGGCUAAAAAAUAAACAAUAUCAAGGAUCAAAACAAAAUUACUAUUCAAUUGAAAAAAUAGGGUUCUUAGUGGUACAUAUCACAAUAGCCAAAGCGAUUACAAUACAAAUUAAAUAUGAAUAUCGUACAAGCACAUGAAUAAUAAAUGGGAGACAAACUACAAAUACGCAAACAGAUUAAAACAACUAUAUUCAAAUUGACAAAAACGUUAAAACACAUAGGCAAUACCAAACGAUACCGUGACUACACUUUCAGUCUCCCCGUUUUUGAUGUUUGGCAAUUUGAGAGACUAUUGUUGAUCAUUUAUUCAAAGCAUUAUUUGGAAUUUGAUGGAUGAAAUGAAUAUGGUGAAAUAGUGUACAAUACUUUGAUUGAGAUGUAAAAGUUCUAAAGCUCCCUCUGCAUUCAACACUUAAUGCACGUGAAUAGUGAUAAUAUCUUGAUACCUUCUCCCCCUUUGACAAAUAUCAUAAAGAGAGAAAUGACAGAGUUUGAGCACACGCAAAAAUCUGAAUCCAAGAUAAAGAAGAAGUCAAAAAUAGAAUGUCAUACUUAGUGAACUAAACAAACACCAAACCAAUUGCAUACGAAUUAACUAUCGCAAAUACACAAUUUAACAAAAAUAUUAAGAAUAAGAUAACAUAAAGUGAAUAACAUAAAUGGCCAACAUACAUGACUAAACUCGUCACAAGAUACAUAUCCCAAAAUAGUAGUCAAAAGUCACAAAAUAACCAGAUAAUCAAAAUAUCCUAAAUAUCCAUAUAUGAUAUGAUAUGUUAUGCAUGAAAAAAAGAAGAUGAAAUCAUGGAAAGGUAGAAACAACAUCAGAAGGAGGUGAAGUAGUUGUGAAAUCAACAUAUGCAUUAAGAUCAUGAUAACCAAUGUUAAGAAUGACAUUGGAUAUACACAGAUGGUUAACAACAUCUCUCAUAGACUCCACUUAAGCAAUCACUCGAGCCUCAGAGUUCUACAACCCAGCCUUCAACUGAAGUAAGUUGGGAAAAGCUGAAGCGUGAAUUGAAGAAAGUUGGAGAACUCAAGUGAAGAAAGUUGGGAAAAGAUGACAUGUCGAAAAAAUAAUCAUCAAACUCACCCUAACACUCCAUGACAACAUGUCCAUACUGUUGCAGAGUUGACAUGUUGGCCUAUUUUUUUAGCCAUUCAUUUUCCUGCCAUGACCCCUUCUUCUGAAACCACGACCACGACCAUGAACUUUUUAGUGUUGCAAAUUUCCAUUGCCAAUUCUAGUUUUGACAUAAAAUUUGUUGUUCAAGGCAUUUCCUAUGUUAGUUGUGGCACUUGGAGUCGUGAGUUCUUGAUGAUGCAUGUCCAUUUUAGCCUCUUGCACAUAGACUAGAGCUUCAACUUCAUAGAUAUAGGUAGGCUCUGCUUUUCCAUAUAUCAUCAUGAUAAAUGGAUUAUAUUAUUUUGGUAAACCUUAAAGAAUCACAUCCAUUUGAUCUCUUUCAAAAAUUGGAUCGUCAAUUGCAAGUAAAGAAUCAACAAUAACUCUAAUUCGAAGAACAUACUCAAAUAUGGUCUUGUUACCUUUCUUGAUCAUUCUCAGUUCAUCUUGCAAUUGAUGAACUAUAGCCUUCAUUUGAGCUCGAAAUUGCUUGUUCAUUUUGUCCAAUAUCUCAUAUGCAUGCUUGCAAGAGAGAACUAUAGGUAGCACAACCUCAGAAUUUGUUGAUAGAAACCAUGUGAAGAGUGUUUGAUCAUGAACUAUCCACGUUUCAUAUUCUUCAAAACAAUGUUGAACACUCAGUCACGAUCAUUUUUGAACAUGACUGGAAUUUAUGGAUUCAUGACCACCUUAUGCAAUUUGUGUGAUAAUAUCACACCUUCUACCUAAUGAUUCCACAAGAGAAAGUUGUUUUCUUGAAGAUUGAUUGAGAGCUUCGGUGCAAUCGUGUUACUUGAGCUGGAAUGCACCAUUGUUGAUGCAGAAACUUAUGAAGAUCUAACCAAAUUUUAUGUGUCUUCCAUAUUUCUUUCUUGAUCCACUAUGAAAGCUUAUCUGAAGCUUAAUUUGAUGAACGAUUCAGAAAAUAUUGAAUAACUUCUCUAAAUCUUGAAAUCGAUAGCCGAUACACCAGACAUAUGAGUGAAAUGUAUUAAGAUGUUAGAGAAAUGAGAAUCAAGGAUGAAGAUGAUUGAAUAGUGCAGAAGAAAAGGUCCCUUAGUAGAUUGAUACCAUAUUAGAGAUGAAACUCAUAUUGAGUUAUUCACCGAACUAUGUUCAUUAUUUCAAAAUCAAUGGAGCUUGCAUGGAGAACAUAUAUAAGAACCAUGCAAGUGGAAAGUUUGUUAUAUUGGAGAAGUUAGUUAGAGAUCCUAACUAACUCUCAUACUUUUCUAACUAAUGCUUACUUGUUCACUAAGCUACUCUCUACUAAUCACUUCUCCAAUAAGACAAGUUCUAUUUAUAAAAACAAUGAAUUAUAUUAAUUUUGUAUUAAAAUUUAUAUGCUAUGUAAGUGUUGGAGUGAAAAUUUUAAAAUAUUUUAUAUAUUAAUUCUCUAUGAUUUAAUACAAUUAUUUCAAAGUUAUGCGAUUAGUCAAUAAAAUUAAAAGAGAUAUGUUAUAAAUACUGAAAUAGUCUUUUGAUCUCUGUAAGUUAGCGAGUUUUUAAUUUUGGUCCCUAUAUCAUUUUUUUUGUCUGAGCAAUUACAUUUGAUUGAGUUUAUGUGUUUAGUUGAUGUGUUGCGCUCAAGUUCAUUGUCUCAUAUGAAUAACUUGCAACCUAAUCCCGAAUUAGAACAUUUAGAGAAUUUUCUUUUAGGGAUUUCAGUUGAAUUUGAGAUGAACUUCCUCAUUGCUUUAUUGCAACCACAAACUGGGAUUUGAGACUUAGAGUAAUUACCUACAAAUGAUGUUGCCAUGGUUGAAUCUGCAUAGACGAUUUGAAGAUUCGAAGAGGGGAAGAAGAGAUAAACCUGGUGCAAAAUGGUGUCCUUUGUGGAUUUAGUCCUCCUUUUCAAGUCUCAUCCACUAGGUUUUCCACAUAUUAACUACAGAAAAAUAUCCACGUGUGCGUCGUUAAUCAAGUCAGCUUUUUUUAACAUAAUUUUAACCCCAAAGAUCGACGUCAACACAAAAGUGAGAUAUAGGGUCUCAGACAAAAAAAAAGAUACAGUGACCAAAAUCAAAAACUCGCUAACUUACCGGGAGAAAAAAACUUAAGUCUAUUAUAAAAUACAAAAAUACAUAGUUAAGUUAAAGCUGGUGCUAUUUAGUAUGAAGCAUUUGAAAACAAAAAAUAAGAGUACACAUGUCAAUAUUUUAAAGCUGAAUUUUAAAUUAUUUUUUUUAAUAGAAAUUAUGGAGUAAUGGUUGUAAUGAACCGUUGAAGUCUAUCCCUUACCUUUUUUAUUUUCAUGCUUUUGUAAGAAUAAAAAUCUUUUGAAUGAAACAAUUUGGGAAAAGAAACAAUUAAAACCCCAAAAUUUGCUUAUGACUGCUAGCCCAAUCUUCGUGUACAUGAAUUUUAAUUCUUUCUCACCGAAAUCAUAUAUGAUGUACGUUAAGAUUUUUGUGAUCAUUUCAAUAUAGGGAAAUAUGUUGUUUUUCCUUUAUCUAUCUAGCAUGUGGUGAAGUAUUGCAUCUGCCAACAUUAUCUCAACUUGGCCUUUCAAAAACUAGAUUGCAGAGAUAUCUUACUUUUGGAUUGUGCUAUAGUUACUUUUCCUUGGGAAAAGCUCAUCAUUCAUUUUGUGAUGAAUCAAUUUGUAAUCAAGAGUGCUAGAGUUACUUUUUCUUGGGAAAAAUAAAUGAUUCAUUGUGUAAUGAAUCAAUAUGUAAUAAGGGAUGAUGAGUCAAGCAGUGAAGGAUGAUGGGAUUCCAGAAGAGGGAUCAAUGAUACUAGUGUGAUCAAACGUGUCAAAGUUAAAAUCAUUACCUUCAAGAAAAAUUAGAUCAUAAUCUUGAUCAAUGAAGGGUAGGUUGCAAUCUCGUGCAAAAUCUUCUAGGGAGAGAGUGGCAGGGGGUAUCUUGACUUUGGAGUUUAUGAUACCAUCUUUGUAGUUAAUAUUUUCAUAAAAUAUUUUUACCAAUUCCGGGUACCUUUCUUGAGGUUUUUCAAACAUGAAUUCCUUCAAGCUGGCGAAGUUGAAGGCUUUUAUGAAGAAGCAUUUCUUGAAGAGAUCUUCAUCCAAAUAAUGAGAGAUGUAUAACUCUCUAUCAUCAUAGUACAUGUUAAAGUUUUCAUCUUGAGAUUGAGAGAAGAAGUCUUCGGAAAAGUAUGAGGAUAAAGGUUUGGAGGAACAUUUUCUUUUUUAGGCCAUUUGAGGUGAAUAUGAAUGAUUUGAGAGAGCUAGAAAAGUUUUGAUGCAAUGCACAAAUGAUGGUAUGAUGAGAUGAGAAGAAUGAUAAAUGUACCUCUUUAUAUAACUUUUGUCCAAUUGAUUGAAGGGUGUGCCAAUCGAUUGGUAAUGUUAAUUUAUGCAAGCUAGCCAUUAUGAAUAGUCGUUGCAUUAAUGGCUCACCUAACUAGUCGUUGUGGUGAUCGUUAACGUUUGUAUUUUUUAUUUUUCGCAUGAUCCAAUCGAUUAGACCAUAGUGCCAAUCGAUUGACUGACCCACUUUUAGCAUAUAUUGUUUUGGAAUUUUAGUGUCGUACCCCUGCCUGACCUUAUUUGCACCCCUUUUCUAAAAAACACUUGAAACAACCCAUAUUUUGGGUAAGAAAAUAAUUUAUUGGGCUGAGCAAAAAAUAAAUUCAUUAUUUUAAGGGUUUAAUCAUAAUUUUCUAAUUAUUUCAACCUUAAAAUAAUGUAUACCUCUUUUAUCAAGAACUCUUGAUAAAAACUUCCCUUAAAUGGAAACACAAAUUAUAUUAUGGUGUAGACAUCGUUGGAUGUGAGAGUUGGUAUAAUCAACAAGAUGAACUAGUUUAUUACAAAAAUAUCCAUUCAACUGAUCACUAAGGAUCAUACACCUUGCGAUAUUCUUAUGAACACUUUCUUUGAUCAUUGUACUUAAUAUUUGACAUCAUCUUAUGUUCUUGGAUCAGAGACUUCAUAUAUGGUAUACUUAAAAGUAUACUCUUUCUUUGCACAACUCCAUUAAUAAUCGUCAAAGCUCCAAGCUGCUAAGCAUACAUAAAAAACACUAUAGUUUCACUUUUGGUGCCCACAUCUUCUUGGUCCCAAGUGAAUUAGUUCUAGAAGAUCUAAGAUUGUUACCUUUAGAUCUUUUCAACUUAUCAAAACACAAAGGUUCUAAAUGACUAACUCUCUUACAUUGUGUGCAUUUCUAAACUGAACGCUUCUUUUGCUUGUGAUAUACACUUUUACUAGGUUUCUUAUCCUUUUUAAAUCCUAGUCCAUUAUUGUUUAAGGAAGGAUUUUUAAUUGAUAAGAUCAAGUUAAACUUUUCUUUACCUUGGGUAAACAUACCUAGGGUUUCAUGCAAAUCAUUGACUUCCUUUUCAGAGAUACACAAGUCUCACAUAUUUCUUUUGACUUUAUAAGCUAAGUUAUUUCUGCCUGGAAUAAGUUAUUGAUUCCUUCAGGGUAUCUUACAAAAUCUUUAAGACCUAGGGUGCAUUCUCUCAGAUUAUCAUUUUCUUCUACUAAUGGAUCACUCAUUUUAAACAAUUGUUCAUAACAUCGUUUAGUACCUAGAACACUAUCUACCUCGUAGGAUGCCUUUAAGCAAACUUCACCUUCUUCAUUGGAAGAAGAUUCUUUUAUAUUUCUCCCCGAGGUUGAUGUAUCUCCUCCUUAUAUUCGUUUGAAUAUUGAAGAUACUUCAUAUUUUUCACGGUUUCUUGAACGAGAGGUUCCUUCAUUUGAUGUUGAAUUUUUCGAAGAUCAUUUAACUACUGAGUAUGUUCUUUAGAAAGAUUGUACAUGAGUUGUAUGAUAUGAGUAUGACGAAUUUUAUGAUUCUUUGGUUUUUAUUUCUUCAUAUUUGCUGAAAUUCAUGAGUGAUCAUAUCUUUGAUUUAAAAAUUGGAUUCAACUUCCUAUCCUUAACUCUUAGACUUUGGUUAGAGAUGAAGGUUCCAAUAUAACUUCUAAAAUUUCUAUGUUUUGAAAAGCAUUUAAGAUUGACAUCUUCAUCUUAUUCACCUCGUGUGUUCAUGUCCUCUUGUUAGAUACUUGAAGAAACUCCAUAUAUCAUUUCAAGAGUAUCCCACAUUUCCUUGGCGGUAUUAAGUUGAUGAACAUAGUAAAAUUUAAUAUCACCUAGAGACAUUAUUAUAGAGUUUAUAAUUUUAAAAUCUUUCUCAAACUUUAUCUUUUCCUCUUUGGUCUAGAGGAAAUCAGGUUUAUCUACUACUUUAUCAUUUAAUUGAUGAGUAAGGAUGAAUAAACCAUUGAUUAUGUUUCCCAUAAUUCUUGGUUUAUACUUUGAAGAAAAAUUCUAAACCUAGCUUGCCAAAUAUCAAAUCUACUAUUAUCGAAAAAUGGUGGUAUGUUUAGAAAAUAUAUCUUGUUGAAAGUCAUCUUCCUCCAGAGACGAUUACUCCUUAAACAUGAGUUAGACUUUGAUGCCACUUGUUAGACACGUGAUUUCACACACAAGAAGGGGUGAUUUGUAUGGUCUUGAAAAACAUGGUUUUGAUAAACUUUUGGAAUCAAAAUAAGAGUUACAAUUUUUUUUGAAAGAUGUUUUAAGAUUAAGCAGUGGAAAAUAAAUUAGCAGAAUAUAAAUUACGGAAAUUAAAGAGUUAAAGGAAAAGAGAGAACACGGAGAGUUAUAGAGGUUCAAUUAAACAAGGAAAAAAUACCUACUAUUCUCCUAGAGAAUUGAUCUUAAGAGUAUCCAAUUUACAAGGAAAUAUAAAAUUUAAGGUUAACUUCCAACCAAACAAUAAACAAUUAAGUGAAGCAGUGAGCCUUCCUUCCAAAUGACAGAGUGAAGUUGUGAGUCUUCCUUCCAAACUGCGAAUCGAAGCGGUUAGUGUCCUUUGCAUGAGAAUCUUAAAGCGUUUAGUCUUCGAUAUUCUAAAAAAACUUUUCCAGAUUUUAAUACUGGGUUGAGCUCACGAACCUUAAACCUUGGUUUUACCAUAGGCUAACCAAUAAUAUGAGAGAUUUUAAUACCAUUUAAUCUCAAACCUUAAACCUUGGUUUUACCAGAUGCUAACCAAUAACGUGAGAGAUUUUAAUACAUGGCUAAGCUUGAACUUUAGAAAGCUUUUAAUAUUUGGCUAAGCUUUAUCCGUAACUUGGAUUUACCAUGGGCUAAUCAAUAACCUAUGAAAGCUUUUAACACAGGUCGACCCUUCGAACCUACACAAGGGUUUGAUCACACAAUCCCCAAACCAAAGCUUUUUUACGGGUUUAGCUUCUAACCAAAACAAACAUUCCCUAAUAGGAUAAAAUGUUCAACCAAGGUAUAAACAAACUCCUUUGGUGAACUUACAGAUCUACCCUUCUAGAAUUACAACUUCUCUCUUACAAAAAAGGACUUUAUCUAAAAGCACAUCGACUAAAAUCUUAGUGAGAGAAAGUAAAAGAAUUUUUAGAGAGAGAGAAGUAUGAAAAUGAAACUCGGUUCUGGAUGUUUUAAAAUGAGGGAAGGGACCUCUAUUUGUAGUCUAUAGGUUGGCUCACAAAGGAAAUUAUUUUAAAAGCAUUUUAUAACCUGCCAAUCGCAACAAGUUUCAAUCGAUUCGUUGCCUCUAUUACAAUCGAUUACCAAGUUAAAAAUGGAAAGAAAAUAUAUCUAUUCGUUACCCAUCAUUAAGAUGUUGUCCUAAUCAAUAAGGGUGCAAGAUCGAUUGUCAAACACAAAAUUUUUCCCAGAUCUUUUUAGACAACUUCCAACUCAUCUAGUACGACUUCAAGACAUUUUUGGAAAUAUUUUCUUGAGAAAAAGAUAGUUAAUUUUUUUAUGCUUGUUGUUUAGCCAAACACUUUUAUGAAAAUUGCCUUAUGCAUUACAAAGUUUUCUCCUGGACUAAUCAAGGCAAGGAUUUCUUGCACUUUAAGACACUGUCAGAUACAUUCCUUCUUAUAGACACUUGCUUGAGUUUUAAUUGAGAUGAGUCUUGAGUUAAAUUCCAUUUGGUUGUUAUCAUCAGAUAGUCAAGUCCAACAAACUAUAAUUUUUUAGUUUGUAUCUUUAACCGCUUAACCGCUUAUGUUUGACUUGUCAUCAUCAAUUAUCAUCAUUAUACAAAGUUCUCAUCAUCAAAAGUAUAAUACUUUUCCUUUUUUUAAAAGAAUACCAUUUUCAAAACAAGGUUCCAUAAAUCUAACAAUACGGCAAAAUAAAAAUGGUCUUGUCUAAAAAUGGGAUAUAACUAAAAAAAACUAUACUCAAACGACAAAUUCUCCUUAUAUACAAUCAUAUCUAACAUUUAUCAUUGACUUAUUGAAAAUAACCUGUUUGAACACUAACUUCAUUCGUUAGAAGUUGGUACUUUGAGUUUAACUGCAGAAAUAACAUCACAAAGAUGCACAUCAAUUCCAGCUUUAUCGAUGUUAAAUCAUAUCAAUAUUGAUGAUUUUUCAACACCGACAUAACAAAGGGGUACAUCACUGUUGGUAUAUCAAGUUUGAGUAUGAGUCCCACAUUGGAUAAAAAAGUGGAUGUUAAGCAUUUUAUAAGCAAGAAGAUCCAUAAACUCAAUGCCUUAAGGUUUUAGGUUAAUAUAUGGUGUCGAUUUUUUUUUAAAGUGGGUGUUAAAAACCCCUUGUAAUGAUCCUGAAACCUGUCAUGGCCUAACAGUGGUACCAGGGCCUAGUUCAACUAGGGUUCCUUGUAUCAAAAGUCUUCCCUACAAACGGCGGUGCAAGUAGAUAUGGAUGAAAAAUCUUCAAUUUGAGGGGGGGGGGGCAUACUUAUAAUAAUGGAUGGACUCAAAUUUGAGGAAGAUAUUAUUCCUUGUAUCAAAAGUCUUCCCUACAAACGGCGGUGCAAGUAGAUAUGGAUGAAAAAUCUUCAAUUUGAGGGGGGGGGGGCAUACUUAUAAUAAUGGAUGGACUCAAAUUUGAGGAAGAUAUUGUUGGUAUAUCAAGUGUGAUUAUGAGUCCCACAUCAGAUGGAAAAGUGAAUGUUGAACACUUUAUAAGUGAGAAGACCUAUAAACCCAAUGCCUUAAGGGUUUGGGUUAAUAUGUGGUACCUCUCUCACUUGUGUGAUUGCUCCUAAAAAUCCUGAUGUGAUGAUCCCCAGUCCCCCUCAUGACCCAACAAAGUAUGGACAUCCAAAGAUAUCUCUUAUGGUUACUUGAGAGUGUUUGGUUGUAGGGACUUUGUUCACAUCCCAUGAUAUGAGAGAUUCAAGUUUGAUAAAAUAUGUAAACAAUGUGUGUUUGUAGGUUAUGGUCAUGUAGAGUUUGGUUAUAGGUUGUGAGAUCUAGUUGACAAGAAAAUCAUUAUAAGUCGUGAUGUGAUAUUUCUUGAAGAUCAAACUAUUGAAAAUUUUGAUAAAACGGAGAAUCCAAAAUAUGAUGGUAGAAGUUGCAUUGAUGUUGUGCCUAAAUCUCCUAGUGGAAAUUUUGUUAAUGGGGGAGAUAUAUAGGUAGAUGAUGAGAAUGUAACUAAUGACCAAGAAACUUAUCACGAUGAGUAAGUUAAAAAGGCUCCACCUGAGCCACCGGUUGAACCUGAGUUGAGAAGGUAUACUAGAGAGUGACAAAUUUCUCAAAGAUAUCUUCCACACGAGUAUGUGAUGAUCACUGAUAGUGGAGAGCCAAAAUACUACCAAGAGGCCAUUCAAAAUGUUGAUAAAGAAAAAUGGUUGAAAGUCAUGCAAGAAGAGAUGAAUUCCUUGCAUGAGAAUCACACAUUUUAGUUAGUGAGAUUUCCUAAGGAUAGAAGAGCACUCAAGAAUAAAUGGGUAGACAAGAUAAAGCUCGAAGAAAAUAAAUCUCAACCAAGAUACAAAGCAAGAUUGGUUGUGAAAGGCUUUAAUCAAUGAAAAUGUAUUGACUUAGAAGAAAUUUUCUCACAUGUGGUGAAUAUGACAUCUAUUCGAGUUGCGAUAGGAUUAACAACUAGCUUGAAUCUAGAGGUUGAACAACUUGAUGUGAAAAUUGCAUUCCUUCAUGGUGGUUUGAAGGAAGAGACUAUAUGGAGCAACCUGGGGGCUUCAAAGUCAAAGAUAAAAAAGAGCUUGUUUGUAGAUUGAAGAAAAGUUUGUAUGGUCUCAAGCAAGCUCCACGACAAUGGUACAAAAAGUUUGAUUCUUUCAUGAAAAUAAAUGGUUAUUGUAAAACCAUUGUUGAUAAUUGUGAAGAAAUUUUCUGAUGGUGAUUAUAUUAUUCUCUUAUAAUAUGUUAAUGAUAUGCUGAUUGUUGGUCAUGACACUAAGAAAAUUCAAACCUUAAAGAUAACAUGCUUAAUGAAGAAGUUAGACGCAAGGAGCAUGGUUUUAUUGUUACUCCUAAUCAGUUUGAAGCUCUAGUUACCGAGUCGAGGGGGUCCGGGGAUCAUCAUAAUGGGUUUUAAACACUCACUUUAAAAUGAGUUGGACACCAUAUAUUAACCCAGAACCUUAAGGCAUUUGGUUUAUGAGUCUUCUCACUUAUAAAGUGUUUAGCAUUUGUUUGUCUAUCCAAUGUGGAACUCAUAUGCACAUUUGAUAUACCAACAAUCUCCCCCUCAAGUGUGAGUUCAUCCAUUAUUAUGGGUAUUCUCCCCCUCAAAUGGAAGUUUUUCACCAAUCUCUACUUGAACUGUCGUUGUUGUACCUAAUGGAACACGCCACCUGAACACCCUUGCAGAAAGACUUUUGAUACUAGGAGCUCCGGUCGAACCAGACUCUGAUACCAUUGUUGGGUCAUAAAGGGGUCUGAGGAUCAUCACACCGGGUUUUUAGGAGUAACCACACAAGUGAGAGAGAGACACCACAUAUUAAUCUAAAAUCUUAAGGCACUAGGUUUGUGUGUAUUCUCACUUAUAAAGUGUUUAACUUCCUCUUUUCCAUCUAAUGUGAGACUUAUACUCACACUUGAUAUACCAACAACCACAAACAAAAACUUAAAAUUUUAACAUUUUUAAAAAUAGAGAUUUUGGAUCUCUUCAUACUUUGUCAAAAUAAGCGUGCAAACUCACCCAAAUUCUAACUAAUUAAGGAGAACAGGGAGUUGGCGUGCCUCUCACGUUGAGUGUUUAUGUUUUGAAAUUUUUGAACUUUGUGGGUUUGACAAAGAAGAUGAAAAAUAACAAAUAAAACCUAUAAAAUAAUUUUAGUGACCAGUUUUUCAGUUGCUAAAUCAAUCAAAAAAUUGAAUGAUACACGUUUAAAUGAAAUGACUAAUAUGAUAUGUUCUGAGACCAAAAUGAUUUUCAAACACAAAAUAUAAGAUCAAAAAAAGUAUUAAAUCUAAAUUAACCUUUCCGUCAACCAGUUAAUUUUACACGAUUAUUUUCACAAUGACAUUUUGGUGGUGGGGAAUAAAUCCAAUCAUAGUGAAUCAAAUAAUUAUUUAGUAAAACUUGAACUAGUGCAGAUUUAAUAUAUAUUUUUCCUCAAUAAUGCUAUUAUGGUUUACUUUAAUACAACUGUACAAUGCUUAUGGUUUCUAUCGGAUUACAACAACAACAAUACUAGAAUAUAUCUGUACUAAUUAAUUCACUGAGUUCAUAUUUGUAGGAUCAACAAUACUUUUAUUCCCAUAGCAAAAUUGCAUGGUGAGAUUUUUCUGUUGCUUACAAGGAGUAAGCUUCAGGGAAACUACAAAUUUAUACAAAACUACCAAAUUAUGUAUCCAGAGAUGUUUUACAAGGGAAUAAAGAAUUUUCAGCCCCUUCCGAAAUAGAAACUUCAACAUCUUUGUGACUAAUUUUUGUACCAUCAUCAUUGACUGUAGCUGGAGUAUUGAAGAAGUUGUUACAGCUCUUUUGCUGCUGAUCAAACAUUUUCUUCAGCUGUUUGCCUUGUUCCUCAAGUCGCAAUUGUAAUGUUCUUUGAAUCUGAAGUAAAUAAACUAUGAAUUACUAACAUAGACACGACACGACACUGAUAAUAAUUUUAAAAAAUAAAUUAAUUGAAGAAUAUGUGUCAGGUGUUUGACACCAACGUAUCAAACACCCUACACAUAUUUUAUGUUAAAUAUUAUGAAGUCAGUAAGAGUAUAUACCUCUAAUUGUUCAUGAAGACGUCUUUGUGCAUCUAAUUGAAGUUGAAGUGCUUCCUUAAUUUGAAAGCCACUACAAAUCAAGAAUAGUGUAUAUUUAGUUGAAGUAUCAAUAUAUAUUGAGUAUGGUUCAGUGUCAUACUCAAUUAUAAGAACACAAUAGAAGAUUAGGCAUAAAAAAAAAAGCAUUACGCUUUAACACCAACAUGAUGCAGAUCCUCUGUAUGGAUUCUUUUGUCAGAUUUUCCUGAAAUAGGAAACAUAUGAAUAAUUAAAUUUAAACCACUAAUCAAUCACAUCUAAAUCAAAAUCGAAGAGUAUUGAACUUAAGAUGGUAAAAGAUCUCUUUCAAUUUUAUCUGAAAAUUUAGGUUUAAUUCAACUCUGGACACAUAGUUGUAUUAAAUUCUUUAAGUAAAAGAGCUUUACAACUCAUUAUAAUAUUUUUUAACUCGAAGAAUUAAUCUCUACCAUUUCGAGUCUAAUUUAGAAAUAUUUGGCAUAUACUUGUUGAAACUUCCACCAUAGUAGUGGAUAUAAAGGCAUUUAUUCUACAUUGCAACUUUAUAUAUUUUAAUCCUAUUUAACCACUCACAUUAUUCACUAUGAAUAAUUUGCUUUACUUAAUUUAAGCCUUAUCAAGAACUUCUCAAUAAAAAACAAGGCCAAAUGGAGAAACAUAUAUUCUAUCCAUUUACAAACACUAUAAAACAAAAACACAUACUUAUCAUUUAUGGCAUGAAAUUCAGUAAAUCCAAACACAAAAAAAUACUAAAAAAAUUUAAAAGAAACUCAUCAAACUAAAAAUUACCUGAAGCUGACUCUGGCAUGAAUUUUAUAGUUCUAUAUUUCUGCAAAUGACUUUUCACAUGAAAUAUGGUCAAACCUUCAGAAUCCAUCAUCUUCAGUAUAGCUUUUGGUGUUGCCUCUAUUAUCAGGAAACAAUAGAGGACUAUUAGAUUAUUUUUCAACAUUUUUGCUCUAUUGAAAAUUCUAUAAGCUAUACUUACUGUCAGCACCACCGAGGCGAUUCACACACUCGACAAACUUCUCAUGAAGAUCCUUUGUCCACCUAAUUCUGGUUUUACUCGAGACUACAUUUCCAUUAGAAGAAGAGUUUCCAAGAGAAUUUGAGAAACUUGCUGAUGAAAUUGUUGGAGAUAACUUCUCAUGUUGAGAAGAGAAAUUCAGUUGCUCUACAGAUAAGUGAUAAGCUCCGCGAGCAACCUACAAAAAGAUGCAAUAAUAACACUAUCGGAAAUCUUCAAAGAUUUGAGACAAGAUAAAUCAUUCAUUGCGACACAGAUCCUCUUCUUACUCUCUAUCAGGAUCUCAGUCGUUAAAUUAAUUUAACGACUGAGUGUUGCUAGAGAGAUAGAAGAGGCCGUACAAGAUUUAUUUUUCAAACGGGCUUACCAUAUAGUCAUGAUUUCCUUUGUUACAAAAUGAUGAGCUUCUGUUAACUGAGGCAAGAUCGUCGAAAUACAACUUUUGUUGUUCAAAUGGAAAAGGCCUGAUUCUAGGAAAAUUCUCGCAUGAAAAAUUGUCGGAGUUUUCUGGUAAUCUAACACAUUGAUUACCAUUCAAUUGAGAUUUGACCAAUGCUUGCAAAGUAUUUGACAGUUCAAAGUUGGGAUCAGAUUGGUUUGAUGAAUCCAAAAAUUGAUUGUUUUCCCUUAAAUGUUGACAUAAAGGGUACUCCAAAUCAUUGAUCUUAUGUACUUGAGUAUUCAAAGAUUGAUUAUUAUCAAAUUCUGCAAAACCCAUGCAGGUUUCUGUUGCAUAAAAAGCAGAAGUUGGUGACUCAAAACGGCUCAUAAUAGUGUUUGUAUUAGAUGAUUUUUCUUCUUCUUGUUGUUGACUGCAUGUUCCUAUAUUCCAAACCUCUCUCAUAUCAAAAUAUUGACAUGAACUUGCUAAACUCAGAUAUUAGGAAAAUAGUUUAUGAGGUAGUUAAGAGAACUCUUUGGGAGUUGAUUCUUAUUGAGGAAAGAAGAAGAUUGAAAUGGUGAUAAUAAUAAUGGGAUAAAAUUCUCUCUCUUAUAUUCAUAUAAGGCUUCAAGAAUAAUAUAUGAAAAUAAUUGUCAAAAUGUGGUAAUGCAAGGUCAAUGACUAAUUAUUCUUGAAUUAAAGAUAAGAAUGGACAAUAAUCAAAUUGACAUUAACAAAGUAAGGGUAUAUAGAAACAGACAAAGUUUUCUCUAAUGUUGUCAUUAUGUGAAAUUGAACCAAGUGAAAAAGAAUCUUGGGCAAAAACAAAAAGAGAGGAAAACUUUAGUUCCAUUUGGUUUUAGAGAAAUAUUUUAUUCUAUAUUUGUACUAUUUUCUUGGAAUAAUUUAUUCAAAGGCAAGCUGGCCUAUAAAAACUAAGUUUCAAAGAGGUUGAAAGAAGUCAUAGAGAGCACACAAUUACAGUUUUUGAUUCUUACAAUCAAUUAAGGUUGGGGUCACACUCAAGAGAGGUUCAAAGUUAUUCCAGACUGUAACUUUGUACUAUUACUAAUCUCUUAAUUUCUAAUAUGAUUUUUGUUAUAUUAGAAAUUAUGUGAUCCUUACUUAUAAAGUUAAAAAAAAAUUAUUUGUUGAUUUGUGAUCUUGUCCAAAUCAAAAUAUUUCAAUACUGACUUGGUAAUGACAAGAUAAAAAUGUUCAUGUUCAAUGAUGCAUCGAUCUUGAGCAUUUUUUCUCAAUUAUAGGAGUGAUGAGGAUAGUAUUUGCAAAACACUUUAAUGCUCAAAUCGAUCAAUGAAAGAGACAAAUGAGAAAAUAUUUUUAAAUUUUCAAGAGUGUGUACAUUGGUUCUGCGGGUAUUAUUAGAGUUUCUUUUGCCCUUCAUCCUUCAUUUGUAAUCAUAAUCGUAUAGGGUGACAAAUGCCCACAUAUAAUUCGUUAUGUCAUUUGAUGACCAUGUUUCAAUUAUCUGACGAGUCUACAUGGAUGUGGUGUUAUUCUAGAACAGUUUCAAAUAUAUUCUAUAGGUCAUAAGACCUUCAGCACACAGACACACACACACACACACACACAUAUAUAUAUAUAUAUAUAUAUAUAUAUAUAUAUAUAUAUAUAUAUAUAUAUAUAUAUAUAUAUAUAUAUAUAUAUAUAUAUAUAUAUAUNNNNNNNNNNNNNNNNNNNNNNNNNNNNNNNNNNNNNNNNNNNNNNNNNNNNNNNNNNNNNNNNNNNNNNNNNNNNNNNNNNNNNNNNNNNNNNNNNNNNNNNNNNNNNNNNNNNNNNNNNNNNNNNNNNNNNNNNNNNNNNNNNNNNNNNNNNNNNNNNNNNNNNNNNNNNNNNNNNNNNNNNNNNNNNNNNNNNNNNNNNNNNNNNNNNNNNNNNNNNNNNNNNNNNNNNNNNNNNNNNNNNNNNNNNNNNNNNNNNNNNNNNNNNNNNNNNNNNNNNNNNNNNNNNNNNNNNNNNNNNNNNNNNNNNNNNNNNNNNNNNNNNNNNNNNNNNNNNNNNNNNNNNNNNNNNNNNNNNNNNNNNNNNNNNNNNNNNNNNNNNNNNNNNNNNNNNNNNNNNNNNNNNNNNNNNNNNNNNNNNNNNNNNNNNNNNNNNNNNNNNNNNNNNNNNNNNNNNNNNNNNNNNNNNNNNNNNNNNNNNNNNNNNNNNNNNNNNNNNNNNNNNNNNNNNNNNNNNNNNNNNNNNNNNNNNNNNNNNNNNNNNNNNNNNNNNNNNNNNNNNNNNNNNNNNNNNNNNNNNNNNNNNNNNNNNNNNNNNNNNNNNNNNNNNNNNNNNNNNNNNNNNNNNNNNNNNNNNNNNNNNNNNNNNNNNNNNNNNNNNNNNNNNNNNNNNNNNNNNNNNNNNNNNNNNNNNNNNNNNNNNNNNNNNNNNNNNNNNNNNNNNNNNNNNNNNNNNNNNNNNNNNNNNNNNNNNNNNNNNNNNNNNNNNNNNNNNNNNNNNNNNNNNNNNNNNNNNNNNNNNNNNNNNNNNNNNNNNNNNNNNNNNNNNNNNNNNNNNNNNNNNNNNNNNNNNNNNNNNNNNNNNNNNNNNNNNNNNNNNNNNNNNNNNNNNNNNNNNNNNNNNNNNNNNNNNNNNNNNNNNUAUAAUAUUGUUUUAUUUUAUUUUAUUCUUCAGCCUUAGGUUAGUUUAUAUAAUAGAGAUACAUUUAUUAUAUUUAUUCUCUCCUUAAUGGAGAAUAAAUGAAAAUAAAAGGAGUACUGAAGGAAAUAAUAAAAUCGAAAAUAAAAUAUUUUCCAACACCCCCUCAAGUUGGUGCAUAGAUAUCUACCAUAUCCAACUUGUCUAUCAAAUGCUCAGAGAUAGGUCUUGCCAAAUUUUUGGUCAGGAUAUCCGUAGUUUGCUGACUCGAAAUCAUGAAAGGUAGACAUAUGAUUCCAACAUCUAACUUCUCCUUUAUGAAGUGUCGAUCAAUCCUAAUAUGCUUGAUUUUGUCAUGUUGAACUGGAUUAUGAGCUAUGUUAAUAACAUAUUUACUAUCAGAGUAUAAUUUCAAUGGAAGCUCAAUUUUCAUAUUAUGUUCUUCUAGGACUCUAAGGAUCCAUAAUCCUUCAUAAAUACCUUGAGACAUAGCUCUAAACUCGGUUUCCGCACUACUCCUUGUUUCUUGCUCCUCCAUGUCAUAAGAUUAUCCCAAACACAGGUACAUUAUCCAGAUGUUGAUCUUCUAUCUGUGAAAGAACUUGCCCAAUCAACAUCGGUGAAGAUAGACACAUUUCUUUCACUAGUCUUCUUAAAAAAUAAUCAUUUUUCAGGAUUUCCUUCAAAUAUAUCAGUAUCCUAUAGACUGCCUUAAGAUGUUCCACGAAAGAAGAAUGCAUAAACUGACUAACUACACUAACUGAGAAAGCAAUAUCGGGUCGGGUGUGUGAUAAAUAAAUCAGUUUUCCAAUCAAUAUCUAUUAUCGCUCAGUAUCAACAGAAACACUACCUUCUCCCUAAAGUUUAACAUUAGGAUCCAUAGGUGUAUCUGUAGGACGACAUCCACUCAUUCAUGUUUCUUUCAAUAAGUCUAUAAUGUAUUUCUGUUGUGAAUUCACAAUACCGUUCUUUGACCGAACAACCUUCGUACCUAGAAAAUAUCUCAUGAAUACCAAGUCCUUGAUUUCAAAGCCUAUUGCCAAUUUUUCUUUCUCCCUUUCCAUUUCCACUGUAUUGUCUCCAAUAAGGACAAUAUCAUCAACAUAAACAAUCAGGGCAACAACUUUCCCAUCACGGGAGAACUUUUUGAACAAGGUGUGGUUAUCCUGUUCUUGGAUAUACCCUUGAGCUACAAGUCUAGACUUAUUUCUUACCACUUCUCCUUACUCAUUAAACUUGUUUCUGAAUACCCAUUUUAUUCCAAUAAUGUUCUUCUGUGAAGGUUUGGAUACUAGAUUCUAGACAACAUUCCUUUAAAACUAAUUUAACUCUUCUUGCAUAGCCGCAAUCCAUCAAUCAUCAUAAAUUGUUUCAUCAAUAGAAGUAGGUCCAGUCAUGUAGAGUAGUCCUAUCAUUGAAUGCUCUUCUCUGAAGGUAGAGUAUGUAUUUCUAGGGCUAUCUUUGUUUCCAAGAAUUAACUAUGGAUUGUGAUGCAUCUGAAAAGUCAUCUCGUGCUUCUUCAGAUUCUUCAUUGUCAGGAUGAGCUUCAGAGGUAGGAUUAAUUUCUAGAUCAUUAUAUUUUGGAGUUCAGAUGGCUUCUGAGCAUUCAUCUCUAGAAGGAUUGAUUGCUUAUGAACUUCCAAAUUCUUGACCUAUAGCUCCUGAUGUGUCUUUGGAUACACAGAUUUCUAAAAAAAAA